UGCUUGGGCCGCGUGUUGCUUGCCAAAUCGGAUGAGAUGCAGCUCAGUCGUGUUCUGUUUCGCAGUUGCAUGCUCUCAUAGUUGCAACUUGCAAGUAGUAAGAUUUGUGGGGUCAUGUGGAAGAACCAUAAAAGAGACUGAAGAUUUGGGGUGCUCUGCUGUAGACUGCACCUCUCUCUGCUUUUCUCGGAAUCCUAAGAUUCUACAGCUCUCACUUUGCAAGAACAGGAAUAUUAGCUGAUAACACCUGCUCCCUCUGUCCCUCAAGAGUCUGGAUAUUAUUUCAUCUUUUUUUAGGAAUCAUCUUGUAAUUAAUGACUUAUGUUCCAGGCCACAUCGUGCAGAUACUGUUUAGGCUUAUCCUUCUUUUUUCCUUUUAGGAAACAAUUAGCUGAUGGGGUGUAAACACUAAACACUACAUUUUUUUUCUUUUUGUUGGAUUCUGAUAUUAUCCCUGCUUUGUUUUCUGGGGAAGAUAACCUUAGUGCCUCACGCUAUAAGUUGCUCCAUUUUCACGUUCUUUACCUGAAUUUUUAAUUAACCGACGCGAGUCAUUCCUGGUUUCAAAGAUUUGGAACGUUUUCUUCCGAGAUUCUCCUUUGGUUACCAGGCCUAACAUUUCAGCUGCGCAGCUACAAGUUUCUGAUACGGCGUUGAUUUGUAUGAAUCAGAUAUCUGAUGGGGAAGGCUACCUCGAAAGGACGUUCCUGAGUCCGGCUUCUAUCAGAGCCACUGCUGUCAUCGUCAGUUGGAUGAAAGAUGCCGGGCUUACGACGUACGUGUGUUUUUUGCUUUCAGUCGUUUUCUCACACUUUGAUCUUGACUUACCUAUCUCUGUUCAACGUGAAGGUGGGUUGAUCAAAUGGGGAACAUUCAUGGUCGGUUUGAGCCGGCUAAUUCUACCAAAGAGGCCUUAUUGAUUGGAUCUCAUAUGGUGAGGCUAUUUUCUUUUAUUAUGUGAUUUCAUCAGUAUUUAUUUAAAUGGCAAUCCAAUAUUUCAAUGACUGAUAACUUUUUCCUUUGCAAAAACAGGACACUGUCAUUGAUGCUGGAAUGUAUGAUGGGUCAUUGGGUAUUAUUUGUGCAAUCUCUGCUUUGAAGGUUUUGAAAGUUACUGGGAAACUGCACAGGCUAAUUAGACCAGUGGAGGUUAGAGAAUUCUCUAGUGUUUCCAGUACAAUAGUGUUGUUACUAUUGUAUCAUAUCAUCAAUUAGGCUUAUCCUUCUUUGAAGGUGUUUGCUUGCUCCACUACAGCGUGUGAGCCGCUUUAUACUAUUCUCACUCUCAACAAGUGGCAUUAUGAGCCACAUGCGUCCUGUAGAUACGACACUUAUCUGCAUUGAUCCUGUUUUUGUAUUUCGUAUAUUUACUCUUUUAAUGUUUCAUACAAAUAUUUCACAUUGUUUUCUAGUCACUAGCAGACAUAGGGUUAGUACCAUCUUUUAUUUAUAUUAAACUUUGAGAUGCUUAUUGGAUAGCUAAGAUACUUAGGAAGUUCCUCGAUAUUGUUUUUUUUUCUCGAACACGCAAGAGAGCUGCGUGUCAAUAUAUUAAGAGGUUCCUUGAUAUUGUUAUAAGACAUCAGGCAAAAAAGUAAUCAGAAGCUGGGGGAAUCCAGUUUGGUAGUAUUACUUUAAGCAGUUGCCAUACCUCCACUGUUCUUGAAAAGAUUCUAUGCGCGGCUCAUCUUUUGUAACAAUCUUGAUAAUAAAAAUGUACAGGGUGUCAGGUGUCAUGCAUGUUAGUAUGCAGAACAGAUGCUUAAGCAUUGCCUUUAGAUCAAGUCCUGCUGUUUUGAUGUGAAUCAGAGUGUCAAUUAUUCUUGACUGCCUGACUAUAAUGCCAAAGUGGCUGCUGUAGUUUCAUAAAAAAAUGGUUUAAGUGGUAUAUCAAAUUAUGAAACAGCAUUAUUUAGCUUGCAUUGUCAUCAUCUGAAAAUAUCACCACAACAGAGCCUAGCACUCACUUCUCCUAGUAAAUGCUCAGGUCAUUGCAUUCAGUGACGAGGAGGGUGUUAGAUUCCAGACAACUUUUCUGGGAAGCGCUGCUGUAGCUGGUACACUACCUGAAUCAAUUUUACAAGUAUCAGACAAGAGGUUGUCUUUUUUGCGUAACCAAUCGAACAGUUUUACGAAUGGACUACUGAUGCAGUCUAUACGUUGUAUUCAAUUUCCUCAGCGGCACUACAGUACAAGAUGUUCUGAAAAUGAAUUCUUUUGAGGCUACUGCUGCUGCUAUCAGUCAAGCCAGGUACAACCCGGAGUCAGUGGAGAGUUAUGUUGAGGUAUGAAGCAUUUGAAUGUCUUCCAUGUGUUGCCUGGUAAAUACAAAAUACAGUACUCAUAAUUUUUUUUUACUUGUAGGUACACAUAGAGCAAGGCCCUGUCCUGGAAGCGCUCCGUUAUCCUCUUGGUGUUGUAAAAGGAAUUGCAGGACAGACGCGAUUAAAGGUGCAGCAGAGUUCUCUGAUAUUCUUGUAAAGUAAUGCUGUCAAAGAACUACAUCAUUCAGAACUAAAAUAUGACCUAGCUGAAUUACAUGGUAUCCUAUCUUGAGGUCAACUUUAUUAGCAAAUGAAUAAAGUAAAUACAGCCCAUUGCUGAACUAUCAGGUAGUCUUUUUCUUAAACGAUUGUGUACUAUGAGUCUUUUCUUAGCAAAUAGUAUUAGUAAUCAACAUGAAUCAAGAAGCAUCUGGGGGAUAACAACAGCAGUCAACAUCCAUCUCAUUAAGUAAAUGGAUGUCAUGAGUAAUCUUUGACGCAAUAAUCACUCAAGGUUCUCUUUGAUUAACGUUGACAUUCAAACAUUCAAGUUGUCAGCGUCAAAUGUGAUGGCUAAUUCCAGCUUCACUUCCAAGUCGCUAUAUUGAGCCUUCAAAUGAAGAAGAACGUAGAUACAAUGCUUAGUCUUUUUUUCUUUUUGUUUGUAUUAGGUCAUAGUAGAUGGUUCACAAGGGCAUGCUGGCACGGUUCCAAUGAAAUUGCGGCGUGAUCCGAUGGUUGCAGCUGCAGAGUUGGUUGUGACUCUGGAGCGCCUCUGCAAAGAGCCCAACAAGUUGCUGACCUACGAUGAGGAGUGCGGGUGCUUCACGGAGGAGUCCCUCGCCGGGCUGGUGUGCACCGUCGGCGAGCUACUGACGUGGCCCAGCGCCAGCAACGUGAUACCGGGGCAGGUAAGCUUGCCGAGCAUUACAAUUCUGAUUUCUCUUUUGGCCGUGCUGAUCAACUGGUGCUUCAGCAAACUGAAUCUUGGGGGGUUCGUUGCCUGCCGCAGGUGAACUUUACGGUGGACAUCCGCGCCAUGGACGACAAAGUCAGGGAGACGAUCGUGACCAGCUUCUCGAGGCUGGUUCUCCAGAGAUGCGACGACAGGCUGGUCGAUUGCAGAGUCGAGCAUAAGGUGAGCAGAACUACUGAAUCUGCAUUCAUCUUUGCCAGUACGGUGCAGAUUUUGUGACAAUUAACUGUGGCGAUCCUUGUGGGUUCUCCGGGCAGCACUCGGCGCCGGCGACGCCCAGUGACCCGGAGCUGACCGCCCAGCUGAAGCGCGCGGCGCGGUCCACCGUGUUGGCGAUGCCGGGCCACGCGGCCGCCGCAGAGACGCCGGUGCUGAUGAGCGGCGCGGGGCACGACGCGAUGGCCAUGGCCAAGCUCACAAAGGUAAGAGCAAAGACGUCAGCACGCGUACUGUGAACGUGAAUGUUUAUUCGUACAGCGAAGCUGACGCUCCUCCGGGGGGCCUGUGGUCGCAGAUCGGGAUGCUGUUCGUGCGGUGCCGCGGCGGCGUGAGCCACUCGCCGGAGGAGUCGGUGACGGACGACGACGUGUGGGCCGCGGGGCUCGCGCUGGCCAACUUCGUCGAGCAGGCCGCGGUGUCGUCGGAGCCGCAGCCGCUGGAGGCCGCCGAGCGGAGCGCGGUGGCCGCGUCGUAGAUGGCCGGCGAUGGUGACGAUUCUUUCGGUGGGGGUAGGCGUGUAGCCUGCAACUGUACAUAGACUGUUUGUUGUUGCUGUUGCUGUUACAUUGCAAUUGGGCAGGAAUAAAAACACACUUCUCUUCGUUGAGACGUGCACGGGUUUCGUUUCGUCGUGGACCGUAGGAUCCGCGCUUCCCAGUGGCCCGGCGCCGGCGGGGGGUUGGGGCCGGUGGUGGCGAGCCGCGUGAUGGACAAACCGGCAGGUGUGGUCUGCUGGUGGGUCUCCUCGAGCGUCGGAGCGAGCUGCCGCAGCAGGCGAAAACAGAGAGGGAGACGCGCGGCCUAGUUAGCCGGGAUUGAUAGAUUGAUUGGGCCGUGCCUCGCGUUCGCCGCAAAGCUGCAGCAGGCCGCAGGUGCUCUCAGGCCCCGCGUGCCGUGUGCAUGGAACAGAAGGGCCGCGGGCCGGGGCCCGGGACCACUCAACACUAUCAAUGAGGCGGCCCGCGGCCCGGCAGCCUACACGAACGAAGAAGAAAGAUAUGGUGGUGGGGCCUCUCUCUCUCUCCCUGUGUAAUAACUGGCCUUCGUAUGACAAUUUUUCUAUAGCAUAUUUCAAUAUUGUCCCACGUAAUAAGUACUUCAUGUUCAAAUUUAUGCUCUUUCUGUUUCAAAUUAUAAAUGAUCUUAGUUUUUGUUUCAAGUCAAAUUUCUCUAACUUUGACUAAGUUAAAAAAAAUACCUAAAACAUCAUACUAGUCACGCUACAUUUCUAUAAAAUAUAUUUUGAUAGUGCAUUUAAUUUAUAGUAUAAAUGUUAAGAUAUUUUCUAUAUAAACUUGAUCAAGAUUAGAUUAUUUUUUUGAAACACAGUACCCUAUGAGCACCUCCAUGAGAUUGAGCCAACAGAUCUCGAAAUUGACGAAGUCAGUGCAGGUACCCUGUUAUCGACGGAUACGUUGCCUACCACUUAAAGAAUAAUGCUGGUUAGAUCCAUAAAUAAAUUCAAGAAGAUACGAGCACUUGUGCCUAGUUGAGGACUUGAUCCGGGUUGGGCAAGUUCCACCACAGAAACCAUUCCAGCAAUACGUGGGUGCUCAAUGUUCACCAAGACCUCACAAAAUGCUCCUCGCGCGUCGGAGCAAGCCCACAUUGUAUUAGGAAAUUUGAGUUUUAGAACUAGUGAACUGAUUAGGGUAAUUAGGGGUAAAAAUAAUGAUGGAAAUUUCCAAUGGACCGAGUUUUGUUUCCGAUUCUGCUCACACAUAAAACUUGGGAGUACUUCUUGUCGCUUUCACCUCUGCAUUUCAUUUUUCUCACAUAAUAGUUGAUUUAGAAAAUAUGUUAAAUUUCCGACCGACCGAGUUCGUAAUUUGUUUUCGAUUAUUUUCUUUUUUUUUCCACGCCACUCUACGCUGGGCGUUCUCGCAACAUCCACGCCACUACAACUAGAGAUUUACCAACACAACCUCUGCUAACCUAAAAUUAUAUUUUAGUGCUCCCCCCUACCACUAUUUGCCGCGUAGACACCACUUGCACCACACCACUUGCACCAUCAUUAUCGCUUGCCUCGAUGCCUUUUUUCCUUGAUGAAACUGUUUCCCAUCUCUAUUCUCAUAAACAUUUUUAUCAUGUCAUCAUAUUAGUUGGUGCGGUAACUCAUUUAAUUAUAAUAAAAUAUCUAUGAAAAGAAUUUUCAUUUGAGAAUGGCCUUAAACUAUUAAUGCUACUAAAAUGACACCAAUAAAGUCCAGGGCACAAGCUGUCAUCCCCAAACAAAGUCCAGGCUAUUCAUUUCAAAAAAAUAAAUAAAAUCCAGGCUACAGCAGCUGGGAAUCAGAGACGGAGAGGUAUAGUCGUGGGUUGAAGGAUUGCCUGCAGGACUUGCACCAUCCACAGGUCCAAAUCAUAGGGCUGUGUGACCAAAAAUGCCCUGCCAAGAUUCUCCCUCUUUUGUAGCAAAAUUAAAAGGUACGUUCCUUCUUGUCUCCCAGCAGCUCUGCGUGCGUGCAUGAAAUGCUGCGAGAAAGAAGGCCAAGCAAAAGAUAUCGGCGUAGACAGGGUGGCAGGGAUCCGGAUGAGGAAGCACAUGUGCGUACGUGAGUGUGUGUCAGCUAGAGAUCAGUAGGCAUGCAGCAGCUAGCUAGGGCAGCAAUACGUACAGCAACCUCAUCUUCGUGUAACGUACGUUGCGGUGCUAUACUGUCGCAGCUAGCUAGGCUACAUCGUACGUAUAGUAGGUGCAGCUGCGACGACAUGCAGUACCGAUGCUUGUACGUCUAAACCAGUGAUGAAUUGAAUGCCAUGGUGGCAACACAAAUCUGCCCAUUCUUUUUCUUUUUCUUUUUCCUGGUAAGAACGGAUGAACAUACUGAGAAUCUAAUUAAUUAAGGGUGAAUGUCCCAUUUUUAAGGAGCUAAACUAAAAUUAACAAUCCAUAAACAAAAGUGGUUUUGGCGCUCUCAUUCUUCCCGUCGAUGAAAUCAAAAUUUAUAAUUAAUAUAUAUAUAUAUAUAUAUAUAUAUAUAUAUACAUAUAUAUAUACGCGCGCGCUCCCUCCAUUUCGAACUGUUCGACCCGAUAAACCGAUAUGAUCACGCCAGCACACUUUGAUUAAUAAUAUACCUAUAUAUAUUAUAUUAUAUUUCUCGUGACUAUAAAAUCAACACCAUAAGAAAAAAUCAGAUAUUAAUAGAACAUAUUAUUGAAUCGUAUGCUAUACUCUACAAAACAUUAAGCCUUUUGUUUGACAAGGAUAGAUUAAGGGGUUUUGGUCUGCAAGACAUCACCAUAUUGUGCGAUGCACAUUGCGAAUAUUGAUUUGAUCUCCAGCCCAAUGCGAAACACACCGCACAUAAUAAAUUAAUUAUUCUUGACUGAUAGGAGGGAUAAGAAAUCUAUUUUAUCCUUCUCCAUCUGAUCCUCCCCUCUCUUUCAUCUUAUUUUCCCUAUCUGACGCUCUAGAGCUAGACGGGAGCGACUACAAGCUAAUCUCGCUGGAGACCUCAUAUGUUAGCUAGCCUUCAUGGAGUGACCGAGCGGGUUGAUGCACACCCCAAAUCUCGAGACGCCAACCCGGGUGCCUCCCAGUCCUAGAAGGUGACAUCGAAGGAAGCCAUGACGAGCACGGAGAACCUGUGUUGCGGCAUUUGUCGCUCCUUUAUGUUGAUUGGCUCAUGGCGGCUGGCGGCAGCAGCGCGGUUUGUGGUGACCGGUGACGAGGCAUAGUCGGCAAUGGCGCGGCUCGUGAUGGCUAGCGUGGUGCAGCGCUAGCGGGAAAGAAGAGAUGAUGAAAGAUAAGAGGGAGAAUAUGACAAGUGAGCCUGAGGAUAGAAAGAUCUUUUUACUCCUCUUCUCAACUGAAAAAAUCAAUUUAUUUGGUACAUUGUAUUAGGGACCAAAUCAGGCUUUCAUGGUGUGUUUGAGAAUAAAUCGAAGCUUGUGAUGCGUGCUGUGCAAAACCAUAUUUUGGGGUGUCCUACCUACUAAAAAUCCUAGAUUAAGAAACUCAAAUAUUAUGAUGCGAGCACUUCUGAAAAGAAAGAAAUGGAGAGCUUGAUGAAUUGACUGUCAUUCCUACUCACUCCUCUCCUAGCUGAUCACGCACGCCUGACAAGCACGAAACUGUACCCACGCAUCCAUUCAUCCAUCCAUCGAUUUGCUUGCUAUCGUGUCAGGUUCAGGCCCGCGAGACCUGGAACGGAUGACUGAACUGAAUGAACCGUCGUCGUCGCAGGAGUUGUGUGUGAAGUCUUUGAUGAGAGCAUUGAGCUGCAGAGCAGAGCUGCGGGGCGUGUGGAAGUGGCAUUUCAGAAAGGGCUCUUUGGUACUGUGCAAAAAUGGAAACGGGGUGUCGGGGGGCAAUGCAAGCACCGGGACGCAACGCCGCGACGGGGACGCGAGAGUGGGAAUGGCAACAGACAAAACGCAUGGCGACAUGUCAAGACACAGGCCGGCCGGUUGGCUACUGGCCAUGCUGUGUGCCUGUCAACUCCAUCCGGGCUUUUUGACACAAUGACACACACAGUCACACACCACCUUCUCCACAGACCACAUCAGCUAGCUCGAACAGCCUUUUGGAAGGGAAAGGCCCCUAGCUCCUGCAUGGGCUAGCCACUACGCUCCUGCUCUCCUGCAUGCACACUACAGGCUACAAGUACUAGUCUCGCUGUCCACCGUAGACGCAACCAAAUUUUCGCAAUUAGCAGAGCAUUUGGGCCAUCAAUGUAUAAUAAGGUACUUUAGAACACACUUUCCCCUUGUCAUUUGGAUGAUGAUAUUUGGGAUGAUUGCGUACAGCCCAACUAUCUGAGAAAAUGAUUGUAAUGAUGUUUGAUAAAUAAAAGAGAGAAAUGAUUAUAUCGUACUAACGCGAUUGAACGUUUAUUUAUGUUCGAUAAGGUACGAUGGACUUGUCUAGAAAAAUAUUUUUCCUAUUAUGAUUUCUUGAUUUAUGUUUUUUUAACAAAUAUAGCAGUGAAGGUUAUGUUUUAGAAACUUUCAAAAAAAAACCUCUCCCCUUUCUACAUGAGGGGGUAAUUAUAAAUGUUUCAUGUGGCUUUAUAACGGAAAAAUCUAUUUUCCUAAUAAAUCCUCUAUGUGACAAGUGCAACUGGUAGACAUAAAUACAUAAUCGACAUCGUGCAUUAUCAACUUAGCAAAUUAUGCAGGAAAAGAAUGAUUUUAUAUAACUUAUGGUGGUAUUGAUACCAUCGCAAAAGGAAGAAAUUAAUAAACGUAGGUGCUGGAUCUCUAUCCAACAACUGAAAUAAUCCAUCGCCCGAAUAGUUGGGUAAUCUCAAGCUAUUUGACAAUUAACACCCCUUAAACAAUUUCUUUUUAAUAAAUAAAAGACACCUAGGGCAUCUUAUAUCUGAUACAUAUUAAGAAAAACCACCCUAACAUUUGCAGAUAAGACCCCCAUUAAAACUAAUUACGAUAAAAAUCUAACAAGGUCUUUUUCCUGAACCACCACAAGUCCAUAUCCAUGGCUACUCCUUGCUAGUCCCCAUCAACAUCAAUAUCGUCACAGGUAGAAAAAAGAAAAUUCAGAGAGCUAAACAAGAUCAAACCCCAAUCGAUGGCUUUUGGAGACCCCAGCCCGAAAUGGAACCAUAACUUCACUUAAGAAAUUCCCGCAAAAAAAGAAACUAGCUUCACUUAAGAAACAUCUGCAGGGUGUGCCCCAGGCUCAUACGUGAUUUGCUCCUACUCGAUCAUCCGUCGAUGCAAUCUCAUACCUAAAAAAAACCGCUACAAACGCUAGACCAAUCAUCUCUCAUCUGCUUGCUCUGUAUCAUGCCACAGAAUCUGAUCCACUGCCAAACACGACUGAAUCACCAAACAUCACACCCAUGAACAUCAAAAAAUCCGACACCAUGAAUAUGAAACCCACUGUCAUUCACACACCGCCAUGGAGGAAAUCACCGGACCAAAAUCGAUCGAUCUAUCAUCACUACAAACGGGGAGGAUGAACUCAAAAUUGUUUCCAGCCUAAAUUAAAUGUAUAUAGCAUGUCUACUAGAUGGAUAUGUCUCCGCUCCUCUUGGCUCUUACCGCCUGCCGAGGAGGAGGAUACUAGGAUAGGGUAUGGUGACCUAGCUAGGUGGUGAUGCUCAACUGAUAUCCUAUAUUUUGUUGAAUUACAUGUAAGAAGGUUAUCUGUUAUUUAUCAUGUCAAAAUAGCACUGCAAUGCAAUGCAUCAUGCUUCCAACAGAAACAGCCCAAGGGCUGAGAUGGUUCAAUUAGCUAGAAAAGGGCCAGCCCAAGGUCCAAACUAAGAUUAAGACAGGACGUCAAUGAUGGAUUCUUUAAAAGGGCAGGAUGGAUUAGAGCAGAAUGUUUAGUAGAAGAGAGCUGGAUUACUGGAUUAGGAUUAGAGGGUCAUGUCUGCUUGGUAGUAGUAUAUGGGUUACUGAUAUUGAGAUCAUCACAAUUCACAAAGAUACGCUGAGAAACACCGGCAUGCAACUUCAUAGUCAUAGAUAAAAUUGAAUACGAGACAGGAGACACUGGCUGUAACGUUCUCGCAACCGUUUCUUGGAUUUCAGCAACACAUGAAUGGAUUCAAAACCUCCAGAGCAAAAUUAAUGUUUGCCCACCAUCUGUCUCUGCCCUGCUACUGCUGCCAACAUCUUGACGAUGCCUGUAUGUGUACAUGUCUGCAUAGAAUGACAGGACGACAAAAGCUUGCAAGGCCUAUGACUGCCUACCCGGCCAAGCUAUCACACUUCACCCCAACAUUUCUCCGUUUGCAGUUUGCUUAGAUUGGGAUCUCAAAUUCUCGAUCAUAUGCGAUUCCGUUCCAAACCAGCUUCCGUGUCCGUUUGGCUGCAAGCUGCAACCUUUGCAGGGCUCACAUGAAAUCCCUCAGCAUAUCCUGCUGCAUAUCAACCUUGCCCUCUCCAGCUACUUCCACUGCUUCACACCUGCAGCAGGCUUGCAGCUACCUCGAUCUCCCACGUACUCCGAUCCAAUCCGAUCCGAUCACCCAGCAGAAGAUUGUGUAGAGCGUAGGGCAGGGCAGCAUGAUGCAGCAGGCUCCUCACCACCUGCCGCGCCUCCACCCGUCGUCGUCGUCCUCGUCGGAGCCGGAGGAGAUGGACCCCCGCGUGUGGCGCCGGCUGCCGCAGCCGCUGGUGGACCGCGUGCUGGCGUGCCUCCCGACGCCGUCCUUCCUCCGCCUCCGCGCAGCCUGCCGCCGCUUCUACGGCCUCCUCUACUCCUCGCCGUUCCUCCACUCCCACCUCCUCCUCUCCCCGCACCUUCCCUUCUUCGCCUUCGCCGUUCCCUCCGCGCCGGGGCACCUCCUCCUCCUCGACCCCACCAGGCGGGCGCCCUCCUGGUCCCGCCUCCCGCUGCCGCUGCCGGCGCCGGGCGCCGGGCAGGCGGCCUUCUCCCCGGCGGCCGCGUCGGCGGGCCUGCUCGCGUUCCUGUCCGACGCGUCCGGCCACAAGACGCUGCUCCUCGCUAACCCCAUCACGCGCCUCCUCGCGCCGCUGCCGCUCUGCCCCAACGCGCGCCUCUCCCCCACCGUCGGCCUCGCCGCCGGUCCCACCUCCUUCAUCGCCGUCGUGGCCGGGGACGAUCUCGUGUCCCCCUUCGCCGUCAAGAACAUCUCCGCCGACACCUUCGUCGCCGACGCCGCCUCCGUCCCGCCCUCCGGCUUCUGGGCCCCGAGCUCCCUCCUCCCCCGCCUCUCCUCCCUCGACCCCCGCGCCGGCAUGGCCUUCGCCUCCGGAAGGUAAAUCCUGAAGCGAGCGCACAUGUGCUCACAAUUUGUUGAACACAACAUGAACUGAUUGCAUGCAAGUUCUACUGGAUGUUGCUGCAGGUUCUACUGCAUGAGCUCGUCGCCGUUCGCGGUGCUUGUGUUCGACGUGGCGGCCAACUUCUGGAGCAAGGUGCAGCCGCCGAUGAGGAGGUUCCUGCGGUCGCCGGCGCUCGUGGAGCUCGGCGGCGGGAGGGAGCGCGAGGCGAGGGUGGCGCUGGUUGCGGCCGUCGAGAAGAGCCGCCUCAGCGUUCCGCGGAGCGUGCGCGUCUGGACGCUGCGCGGCGGUCAUCACGGAGGAGCAGGCGGCAGCGGCGGCGGCGGCGGCGGCGGCGGCGGCGGCGCGUGGACGGAGGUGGCGCGGAUGCCGCCCGACGUGCACGCGCAGUUCAUGGCGGCCGAGGCCGGGCGCGGGUUCGAGUGCGCCGCGCACGGCGACUUCGUGGUGCUGGCGCCCCGCGCGCCGGCGAGCCCCGUGCUCGUGUUCGAUUCGCGCCACGACGAGUGGCGGUGGGCGCCGCCGUGCCCGUACCCGUACGUCGGGGGGAUCGGCGCCGGCGCCGGCGGCGUGGGGUUCAGGGUGUUCGCCUACGAGCCCCGCCUGGCGACGCCGGCCAUCGGCCUCCUGGACGCCACGGCUCCGGCGGCCUUGCAUGGAAUGCAGGGCUAGUUUUGUGCUCCUGCGCGCGUAUGUGGCCGCAUGUUUUGAUCAAUGGCACCAUCAUAUGCAUUUUCUAGAUAAUUGAAAUCAUGAUGAAGCCUCUGCAUCCUCAGAUGGACGCCAUGGAUUUGGGUGUUUCUAUCUAGAGAGCAUUCUAGUAACUGGUAAGCUUAGUAGCGAGGUGUCACAUGCUUUGAUAUUCCUUGUUAGUGGUAAAUCUGUGGUAUUGCAUGAUUUAUGUAUGAGAAUUAGUAAUUUUAUUAUUUGCAACUUGCUUUCUGCAUAAGUGUUUGCAAUCUAAAAUGGACCUUGCAAUCGGGUGAAGUCUUGUCUGCAGAUUCUGGCUUGGAUGGUUUUUUUUUGUCCAAUAUGAAACUAGCUUGUGGUCUAUGUGCCAAUUAAUCUGCUGGAGCUACACUCCAUUCUUAUUUUCUGUGUCUUUUCAUGAGAUCAUCUGACGAAGGUUAUACAUGUUUUCUGAUAAUGUCGUUCUGAUAGAUGUGAAGGUUCAUUCAUAGUAUAUGCAUACUAGGAAGCUAUAUAUGCUAGGCUGUUCUCUUGAGAUGCACUUCCCAGCAACAUAUAGAUAGACCAAAGAUGAUGUGAUCUAUACAUCAUCAGGUGCCAAUGCCAUGACAUGUGUGUGCAAGAUGCUGAGAUUAGUUAAAUCACAUCUCAGAAUUCAGUAACCAUGUACUUCUAUUUUGUGUUUGAUCUAGAAUAAUUUUGGAGACAAAAACACUUAUCUUCUUUCAACCAUAAAAAAUAUUUGCUCUCAGCGUAGAUUGUAAAUCUUCUGGGAGUGGCUAUAAAAUUCAAGAACGAAAUGUCAUAAAGAGACUGGGAAUUGAUUUGGACAGGUUAAUUCUGGCGAGCUAAGUUCAAAUCAGAUAAUUCUUAAGAGUUUUGGUUUGGUUUGGAUAGUGUGUAUCCAUCCAUGCUUUGGAACAUCCCAUGAACUGUCAGGAUUUCUCAUCUUUUGUAUGCUAAAUACUCCUUAAAUUUUAAUAUGAUCUCUCUGGUUUUCUCUUUGCCAGCAAAAGGCCUGGUGAAAAAACAUUUGAAGUUUGAAGCAAUUCCAAGUUCCUCUUUAUUAGUUUCAGAAAUCAUGCUGUAUCAGAAUGUUCAGGACUUCCCCAAAAUCAUACGAUCUCUCUGCUAGCUAGUUCCCCUCACAUAUAGUUAAUUUGUUCUCUAAUGAAAUCUGAAAAUCAUUGUAUUCCAUGUGUCCCAAUUAACACACACAUCCACCUUAAUUAUCUUCAAAAUCUCUGAAAGCAUAUGUAACAAAGAUCAAUAUAUGGAACUGCAUGUGUACAGUGGUACUAUUUUUGGCAAUGUACAGUAGAACGGAGGAAUCUCUUAUGGGGAAUGCACAAGAGUUAAGUACUGUAGCGUAUGCAGGUGGGAACAGUACUUGUUGGCUGGAUCACGCAGCCUGCCAAUGCCCACGGAAAUCCAAAUCCCUCUCGGCCGGCCGCCGGCCCGGUUUGCUGCUGCGGCUAGAUUCCUUUCCUUCCUGCUUCGGCCGGGCGCGCGCGCAAAAGAGAUCAGAGAUGGAUGGAGCAGUACAUACGUGUGCGCAGGGGUCGCCUGCAGCCUGCAGAGGCCUGGCCUGCCUGAGCAAAGACAAGGCAGAGGAGCCCUAGCAUGACUAGGAGCCUAGGAGGCUAGCACUGUUGUGUAGCUAGAGUUUUCUUUUCACUUCACUUCAAGUAGACUGUACCUUUCGAAAUUUACUAACAUGUCAACAGAUGUACGAAUGCUAUGAGGGCUUCUUGCAAACUAGAAUUUUUUUAGCUCCUUUUCAAAAAAAAGUAAAUAUUUUUAGCAUGUGAAAAUUUUCACAAAAUUCCUUCAGCCCAUGUCUUUCAAACCAAACACUGAGUGACAGAUGCUAAACUGAAAGUGUGAAUUGUAGAUGCAGUACAUUGACUAUUGUCUACCCUAUAUAGAAAAAUUGAAGAUUGUGCUCCUAUUUGAAUCCGAGAUAUGAAGCGCAUGGAAUUUUUUUUUGCGGUGAUUAUUGUUCCCAAGUUGAGAUCAUCAUUUGUUCCUGAAUCUUUUUUUUAGGAAGAGUAAAAUAUAAAAGGAGGUCAUUAACUUGUUAGAAGAUGUCAGUUAGGUUCACGAACUCCUAAAGUGCAUUUUUUUUCAUAAACUUAUUAAGUAGUUCACCACAAGUCCAUACUCCUCCGUAUAGGCAUCUAGUAUUGAGAUGGUACAGUGACUGGCCAUGUUCUCUCUUCCCUCCCAUCUUCCUUUCUCUCCUUCUGGCAUUUCAUCGAACAUGUCGACUGCAGUGGCGGCACGUAACUCUUCAUCCGUUUCACCCCUGCCUCUCUGCCGCAUCCGUCGCCGGCGCUCCGUCCUCCUUCCAACACCAUCAUCUCCUCAACCGACACAAUGGCGGCUCGCUUGCCGACGUCGUCGUUGCCGUCCUCCUCCUGGAUCGCUAGAGCCACCUCGCCACAGCAACACCGCACAGCCAGCUGCCCCAACCAGUGCACGCUAACACCGCUUCUUGCCACCGUGUAAAUCGGCGGAGAGCACCCUUCACUUGCUGGCCCCACCCGACCGAGACGGUGAGCAGAGCGAGCAGCCGUUGCAGGAGCGGAAUGUCUUGAGCGCUGACGGCAACGGAUGCGGAGGAGAGGCGGGAGGUGAAGCAGAUGAAGAGCUCUGUGUCGCCGCUGUCAACAUGUUCGAUAAAAUGCUAGAAGGAGAGAGAAGAUGAGAUGGAUGAGAGAGAAGAUGAUGGACCUGUGUUGAACGACUUAACAAGUUUAUAGAUCCAAAAAUGUACUUUCAGAGUUCGUGGACCUAAAUGACACCUCCUUACAAAUUGAUGGACCUCUGGUGCAUUUUACUCUUUGAGGAAAUUUAUUCUUGAAUCUUGAUACAGUGCAAAAAAAAUUUAUGCUAUGUCGCAUACACAUUUGAUGAUUUCUUUCAAUCAGACAGUCAUUCUUGGAUAAGCAAACAUAAAUGCCAAGACUUCUACAUGCUCUGGGUUGACAAUUUGUUCAUACAUGACGGUGUUCGCAUACAUAUUUUAACAUAUAAGAUGCUUGACUUGUGAGUAAUUAGUUUGCUAAUUUUUGUUCAUGAUUACCGUUUCUUUACAAACAUAUUUGGGAUGUAAGUGGUUGGAUACCCAAUGGAUAUGUAGUUUGGGUUCCACUCCUUUGGAUGAUUUUUGUUUCACUUAUUGUGAUUAGAUGAACCAAAACUGCCUUGCAUAGACUGUUGUAGUUGAUUUAUGACAAGUUUUGGGUAAAGUUAACAACCCAGAGAAAAUGAAACCUGGAGUCCUGAAGACCUAUCUAUAUCCAACAGUUCCCAACUUCCUCCACAUAAACAAACAGGUCACGGCUCCGGCUGCGUUUGGCACUGCACGGCUCUAAGAAGAGCUUCUCGGACGGUUUCCGCGAAGCUGUACCACCAAACACCUAAAAGGAAAAGUGCUCCAGGGCUCAAGCUAGGCGAAAGCCACCUAGAAAAUGAACUGCACGCACGCAGGGAGCCGAAAAAAGUGUGGCAUUGAUUGUACCAAAAUAUCCCUGAAAUUGGCCUAAUUUUCACAAAAAAAUGCCACCCAACCUCCCAACCCACACAGCUCGAUGCGGCACAGCAGAAGAAGGGGCCGCCGGCUAGGCACCAGCAGAGGCGGAGCACACGGUGGCGAAGGGCGGCGCCGGAGCCGGUGCGCACAGCCAGGCACCGGCAUGGUGGAGAUGGGGCGGGACCGCCACGGUGGAGAUGGAGUGGUGUGGCGGGGUCGAAGCGAGACGGCGAGGCAGGUCCAGUGGAUAUGCGGCGCGGCGAGGUCAGAGCGAGACAGCGAGGGUGCGGAGUACGAGGCUAGAGCAGCGUGUGAUACUGGAGUAGUGCAGCAGGGCCGGAUCAAGCGACAUGCGGCGGGGGAGAGGAAAAAGAUCAGGAGAUGGAUGGCGAGACGGAAGAGACGGGAAAGAAAAGGGAAAGAAAAGGGCGGAUGAUAAGGUUGGAACUUGUGGCAAGGAAAGAAAUGCUGGCACUCUGUAUGCGUUAAAAAGAAAAAGACCAGAGGCGGAUUAAUUAACAAGGAAGAAAAUGAUGUGUUCAAAAUAAUGGUAUGGGAUAAUCUAUACAUUCAUAUUUUUUUUCAUUUUUCAUAUAAAAUCACAAAUAAAUAUGUUAAUCUAUAAUUAUUAUUCAUUGACUUUUUAUAUGAAAUCAUAUUAUAAAUUGAGAGAGCAAAUAUAAACUCAUAUGUACAAGUCAACAGACAAGAGCGUAUUGGACAAUUGACAUGUUUCAUCUAUUUAUGAAAAAGCAGAACCAAAUAUUUUUAGAAUAGCUUCAGCUCUACCAGAGAAAUCAUAGCCAGAACUAUUUUUGCAGAAGCCGCAGCCCUACCAAAUCGUAGUAUCGACUGAGCCCGUAGUAUCGACUGCAACUUAAAGCAGUCGACUGAGCCCGUAGUAUCGACUGCAACUUAAAGCAGUCCCAGGGAGCAUACUCAAAACACUGUGCGUCACUGUGCAUGCAUGUACGCAUAAACAAGGCACCGAUCAGCUAGUUGCCUCUGCUGGAGUGGAACCAAAGCAACGGAAAAGACCGGUACAGCUCAUACAAGAUCAGAGCUUUCUUUUUCCCUUUUCAAUUUCCUGUUUCUUGAAUUUCUCUUUGACCACGCAAGCACAGGUGCCAAAACUUCACCUGGAGAAAAGGCCGGGAAGGCGGGAAUCCAAGUCCUGAACGAAGGCUGGCCGCACCGAAUCAACAGUAGAAAGAACUACUAAACAUUUUGGAAAUGAUGAAGCGCAUCCAAAUAAAUGUUUAAAAAAUCAUUCUCAUGCAGCUUUGCAGCUGGUGAAUUCUUGCUGCCUCCCCUUUGCCUGCCCAAUCCAUACUGUUCGUCUGUUCCCCCAUCACUUUCCAGCACCCUAUACUAUAACACUCCCAUGCAUCCUCUUCAGGAGCCCACAUUUUCUGGCAAACUCCUCAUGGGGCUAACCAUGCUCAAGAACUGCUUCAUUUUCAUCCUAGCACUCAUCAUCUUCGUGCAAUAUGGUAAUAGCAAAAUGCUCCACGCUCCACAAUUGCACAUUGCAUUUUGCAUACAUGUUUGUUGUUUUGGUGAAAUGAAUUCCCGCAUUUCAAACGAUCGUUAAUUACAUGUUGUUCCUGAUCACAUAUGUAGUAGUAUUUCACUAGCGAAAGCUGCUUUCUAAUUUUCUUUGUCGUCAUCAUGCAUGCUAGCUUCGGCAACAGAUUGGGCAGGUGACGCGUCAAGGACAAAGGAGUACUCGUUCCCCAACCUCGUGAAUUCGCCGUCGUUGCCACCGUACAAAGACGUCAUCGGCGGCGGCGGCCCAUCAACUCCAGCAGCCGAUGCCGAUGCCGUUCCGCCGCCACCUCCCUACUGCGUGUACCCUCCCCCCGCAAAGCCUGCCAUGCCAGCCCCGUUGCCGCCGGUGGCGAGCCCGCCCGGCGCGCCCCCGUCACCGUCAGCCGUCUCGCCGUCCAUCGCGCCGGGCAUCAGCCCACCGCCGAUGCCCGGCGCGUCCCCGCCGGCCGGCUCGCCAUCCAUCGUCGCGCCGGGCAGCAGCGCUCCGCCGCAGCCGCUGUUCAUGCCGCCGGUGGCGUUCCCGGCGCCCCCGCCGGGGCAGGCGGUGCGGCGGGGGAUGUGGUGCGUGGCGAACCCGAAGGUGGCGAGCGCCGUGGUGCAGACGGCGAUGGACUACGCGUGCGGGUCGGGCGCGGACUGCGGCAUGGCGGCGCCCGGCGGGCCGUGCUACCUGCCGGACACGCUGACUUCGCACGCGUCCUACGCCUUCAACAGCUACUGGCAGCGCACCAAGGCCACCGGCGGGACCUGCGACUUCGCCGGCACCGCCAUGCUCGUCACCAGAGAUCCCAGUAAGCCUCACCGAGUCACCGUGCACGUGCACAACUUCACAUGCAUCGCGGUGUGCGUGUGUACGUUGCGCUGUUGCAAGCCUUUGAUAUUUUGUUUGGGAAAGUAUGGGUGGAGCCUGUGAACUAUUUGGGCCCAAGAACAGUGAGGCCCAUUCACAUGCAUAUGAAUAGUUGAUCGUGUUUUUUUUUCCGUUCGCAAUUUUUUUUAAAUACUUUCAAUCGUUUCUGUAGAAAUUAAUGUGCGCUCUGUUCUGUUUCUGCAGGUUAUGAAGGUUGCAAAUACGUUUCCAUGUGAAUGUGCGGGUUUUGUCAGAGACAUUUUUUAUCUACAUCCUUGUUGCAAAUACGUUUCCAUGUGAAUCUACCUGUAAUGUCAUGUGCAUGAACGUUUGCUAUGUAUUCGUGCUGUUUUGUAAGAAGAAAGGAACUGGAUUGAUGUAAGACUAUUACCAAACGUUUCCUCCGAAGAAGAGUAAAUUGCACUCACCAUACAACAACUUGUCAGGUGGUGCAAAUUGGUUCAACAACUUGUAGAAUGCUCAAUCUAGUAUAAUAACUUGAUAUGUGGGUGCAGAUUGGUACAAGAACUUAUAAAAUGCUCAAAUUAGUGCAAUAAAUUUGCAAAUCGGUGCAUCCAUAGUGCAAAUGUUGUAACAAUAAACAUAUUCGCAAAUGCUGGACCAGAGGAUACUCACAUAAGAAUAAGUUAUUGAGCAAUUUGACCAUUAAUAUUUGUGUCGCAAGGGUAACAUAUUUAGCAAGGAUUAAAACAUUCGUUUACGAAAUUAAUGUUAUGUCUUUGUAUUAAUUAUUUUUAUACAAUGAUUUAUUUUUAAUUAGAAAUAUUUAAUUUUAUAUUCAAUAUUGAUAAGUUCACCCUCAAUGUUUUACAUUUUGAUUAUGCAUUUUUGUUCAGCUAAAAAAACAAUAUAUUAACAUAUACUACCAAUACCUUGGCGUAAAUAUUUUUUAAAGCCACAUGUACUUGUAUAGAAAGUAAAACUAAGCGAAGCUAGAAACAUACAUGCUUCUCUGCAGUUGUUGAAUACAUGAGCAGAAGCGCAGAAGAAACUUAAGGUCAUAGAAUCUCUCUUGUGGACUUUAGUAUUUCAGUAAUACCAAUGGUGUAAUUUUAAAAUUUUAUUCCGUUUUAACUCAUGAAAAAUAAGUUAUGUACACAUUUGAGAAGCAACAGACAUGUCACAAUCACGACUUUUGUUGACAAAAAAUAAGAAUUAUUCAUUGGAAUAAAAUUCACAUGCCCAUCUACUUUGCUUAUUACGUUCUCAUUGUAACGUUUGGACUGUAGGUACACCAAUUAAUUAUUGCACUAAAUUAAGCAUUUUACAAGUUGUUGGACCAAUCUACACCCACCUGGCAAGUUAUUGUACUAGAUUGAGCAUUUUGCAAGUUGUUGGAUCAAUUUGCACUCACCUGACAAGUUGUUGUAUGGUAGGUGCAAUUAACUCUCCUAAGAAUCAUAUUGGGUAUAUGUUCCCUUCCUUUUCACACUAUGAUCAGAAAUCCAAAAUCCUCCUUUAUUACUGGUAAAAAAAUGCAAACACGUGUUUGGAACAAUGAAUUGUGUGUGUUUGGAGUGCACUAUGUAGCAUUGCAGGAAUCAGAAAUUUUUUCCUGGAACUAACAUUAGGUUUUUUGCAAUCUGAAAGGUCCACAUUUAUUUUAAUUCUUUCGCAUUUCAUACUUUUCGGGUAGACCCUUAUUCAAAGCUAGUGAUUUAAGAUUAGUGAAUGUUUCCAGCUAAUAAAUUUCACAUAACUUCAAAUAGACAGUACAACUACAAGUUAUCUGAAAUUACGUUGUGUGGACUAUUGACAAAGCAUGUCCAAGAAACUCUUGUUUAUAUUACGUCAACAAUGGAUAACAAUAGCACUAUAACUAGGCAAGACCAUGUUUUACGAGGCUACGAACAUUGAAGAGAGUCCCUAGAAUCACAGCAAGAUUUAUUAUGCCAAAUCACGUCAUUCCUUAGCUCGGAGGAAUGGGGCACUAGCAGAGAAGAUUUGCAUCUGUGAAAGAAUGAUAAUCAGCAAAGCAUCCCAUGUUCUUAGAUUUGUUAUAUGAAAACUGUAUUGUUAGAUUUGCCACUAGAAAUGCUUCUACGAUAUUACAAAUUUAUCAGUAUAUCUGAAUGCAAAUGUAUAAUAGUAAUGGCCAAAUUAGUAUAGUACAGACUAAGAAAAAAAGAGUAAAAAUAACAGUAGUACUAGAUAUAUAAGAAAUGAUAUUUUUUUGGCUCUUCUCUGAACUUAUUUCUAGUGCCAUGCAGAGGCAGAUAUCAACUUCCUAUUCUUCCAACCGAGAAGCAAUGCGCCACCCCUCUCCUCCAAGGUGUAUUUAUCAGAGUAGGACGCAAGAAGCUUUCGCACCACCGAGUUCACACAUGAGCUCAGCGGGUGAGGCGUGAAGCCAGCCAUGGUCAGCCUUGAUUUCCAUUUGGCCAGGGGCUCAUGCCGCAACACCCUAUCCUCUCCUUCACAGGCAAUGAUGUUCACAAUGUCCUUACCCAGCUCUACGUUUAUUCUCUCAUUGGAGUUUCGUGGCAGGAUCGCGUCGAUUGGAUUAAACAUGGCCGAGUAAUAGUCCAUGGUCUCACUAAACCUUAUCAAGAAAGGUGCACUGUUGGUGUUUAACUCAUGUUCCACCAAUGUGAUCACCUCUGGGGACAGCCCUUUAACCAUUUAGAGUAACCUGUCCUGUGGGUUGUUAAUAUCCACACUCUCAUAUGGAACGCAGUGCAGCUGGAGAUUGAAGUUAACAACAAGUGCUUCACUAGGCCUAAUCUCAAGCAUUUCUUUUGUAACUUCAGUGGCAUAGAUAGGUAGUGGAGAAAACUCUAGAGGUACUUAGAAUUCCUCAGCCAUACUUGUCAACAUCUUCCCUACAAGUUCAAGACCUUCACCACGAGCGUACUCUGACACUGCAUCAUCUAUUCCAGUGAUCCGCACAUGUGGUGGAUCCCCAGGUCUUGCAGCAGACGCCUUUACCAGUUGUAUCCAUUGUGUCUCUUGAGCAAUCCAAAAAUCAAUUAUGUGGAUGUUGUCCUCAUUUCUGAGUGCCUUUGCAAUCACCCCAUUAGCAGCCAUAUACCCAAACUUGAACAAGAAUGGAUACAUAUUGUAUAAAAUCUCCAUAAAGGAGAGAAGUUCACCCGACAGCACACUGCACAUGCUGUGAAGGUACAUGAGCUGAGAUGCGUUUGGACCCAAGUUUCCAUCUCUAGCAACCAAACCAUCAAGAAGGUAAACACCUAAACGCUGGAUUGGUUCCCCAGUAAUUGUAACUACUCCACGAGCUUCAUGAACAAGCUUAUGGAAAUCUCCUACCCUCUUCUCAAUUAAUGCUUCAGCACACCUAGUUAAGAACAACUUCGCAAUGAUUUGUGUAUCCUCCCUCCAUUUCUUUUUUCUAAAAUAAAGAUCCUCCAUCAUUUCCCUUUGCCGUUUCUCUUGCUGCAGGCCAGUAGACCCCUCUUUUGCCUCCUGAACAAUUAACAAUGCUUCAUCCACCAAUUCAAAGUAAUGAAAGUGAAAUAAUUAUUGUUACACACAAGCUUCAAAAAUUAUGCUAGUGGGGAGUGCGCCAUGUGGCAUGUCACAUGUGCCAUGAGUAACUUACAUGUGUUGCCACUAAAGAACUCAGGUUAGUUUUGAUGCGACAGUAUGUAAUUUCCAUUUCAUUAAGCAUCUCAAUUAUACGCCAUGUAGUUGGUCUUUUCGCUGGAUUAGAGUCUAUGCACUCUGUGCCUAUCUUAGCACAUACCCUUACCUGUUCCAACCUUGUAUCUCCUAGUAAACUUUUGAAACUGUCACUUCAACUUUUGAGUACCUUGCAAUCACAGGUUAAGAUUUCUCAAAGACAUGGAAAUUAAAGUAUGUCGUACAUAUGAACAUAUUCAGUGUUAUGUGCACAUAAAGUCAAUAUAGGUAUCAAAGUAGCAAGAAAUUGCCCAAAUAGUAAAGUGGACGCAUUUAAUCUAGGUUACCUGGAUUCCACAUUCUAUCAAAAUAUUCAAUAUCCUCAAAAGAGAAAUAAUGAGAUUUAACAGGAAAAUAUUUUAUACUUCCAGAUAGUAACUUAAGCAACGACCAUCAAUUUUAUGCCUUUUUUCUAUUUCUAUUUUCCUGAUUUAUUUACUAGCAUUAUUCAAGGCAACGGAAUAAUCCUUCAGUCAGACAAACUAGAACAAAGGAAAACCCCUAAAAAAUUGUCUUAUUCUUUGAGAAAAUAGAGAAAGAUAUAUAAUGUUUAUUUUGUGGGGCUAGAUUAUAUAUAUCAAUGUCAAUUAAUUACAGCUAUUAAAGUUGAAAUGUAAUUGCAGGUUUAAUUUUAAUUGUAAAAAAAUGUGUAGCAAACUACAGAUUAUCAACCUGAUAGCCGUAAGGUUUAGGCUCAUAGUUGUACUUGUAUAGUGCAAACAACCAGAUCACGUGGAUGUGAAUGUAUCUGUCAGUUAUUUUCUUUUGGAGUACUUUUACACCAAGUAGUUUUUAUCAAAGAAUAGUCAUGAAACUGUCAUUCAAUCGAUCUUACGUAAUCAAUCUCAGUGUACCCUUUUAUCCGGUCAAUAUCUCUAGGAUUAUAAUACCGAGAUUGUAUAUGUCUAACUUUAAUGUGAUUACUCUGUUAUAGAAUUCUGGUGGCAAAUAUCCCCUACAUGGAAAAUAUUAUGGGAUGAGCAAUUUAAGAGAAAAAUGAAUGCAACCUAAUUUAUAACUUGUAGUUGGGAAAAAAAUGUUCCAAAGUGCUUAGCUAGCUUAUCGUGAUCCAAACAGUUUUGAAGUCAUAGCAUGGGUUUGAUUUUCAUAAAAACACCUUGAGAGACCAAAAUCAGCAAUUUUUGGCACCAUUUCAUAAGUCAGCAAUAUAUUUGAAGGUUUGGUAUCUCGAUGAACAAUAUUAUUCUAGUGAAGGUAAUGCAAACCCUCACAAAUUCCCUUGAUUAUUUUGUAGUGCGUGCUCCACUCAAGUCCUUGAGAUGCAUCUGCAAAGUGGGGAGCGGAUUUUCUUUAGGAAGGGUGUGGUUACAAGGGCAAAUGUCAAGCUAAGGGCAUUCUGAGCUCGGUUUACUGUCACCAAUGAAACAGAAUGUCUAAGAUUGAAAGAGCACUAGCACCAGAGAAACUAAAGAUUCCAACUACAGUUGAGUUUUGGGUGAUGGGCCAACUAGAAAUUGUGCAGGUGGCUAGAAAUUGUGCAUGGUGGAGUACCAGGUUGAUUAAAACGGGGUCAGAAUGCUCCAUGUUGCAUAGCAGCGCAUAGGAUGAUGAUCAAGUAGGUGGCCCUUAAACUGUCCAAUGGUGCCAAUCCAAAUUAUUAAACAUGGUAAGUUAAGGGACCUAUAUAAUAUCGUAAUACAAGUUUUAAGGACAAACUGUGCAUUUUACUUAUUAUCAUUGUUUGCAUGUUGUAUGACAUAGAAAAAUUGACAGGGUACAAAAUCCUCAUGAGUUAUUGGGGUUUUUGGUUUUUCCCAUAUAAACAAGGCGGAAAGAAACAUACCAGUGAUGUACUGAUUGAGACCUCCGUUUGGUAGAAAUUCAAAGUAGAGCAACCUUUGUCUUACAUCUGCCAUAACCAUCUUGCCAUGACAGCUCCGCAUUUUCCCUUGUGUAUCAGCACGGUAUCCUAGGAAUCGUACUAUAUUUUGGUGCUUCAACCUCAUCAGACAACCAACCUCUUGGUUGAAUUCAUUCUCAUGUAUGGGUUUGGGAUAACUUCUUCAUAGCCACUAUCCCAUUCUAAAGUAUUCCCUGCAGUUACAAUGAGGCCUUGUCAGCAAACAAGUUUAGGAUCAGGUGGAGCCAAGUUUAAGGGCAGUUGAGAGUCAGCCAUACCUUAUAGACAACUACAAAUCCACCUCUGCCAAUUUUUAGACCAUCAUCGAAAUUAUUAGUGAUGGCUUUUAGAAAUAGUAUUGGCAUAUCCGUUGGAUUUACAUUUGCAUCCAGGAGAAUGCGCUCCAAGACAAGACUGCCCAUGCUAGCUUCCCAUUCCAUUUGUAAUCACUUAUAACUGUACCCUUCGAACAAGAGCUAGAAUCAAUUACUCUAGAAGGUUUAUGAGUGUAAAGUGAUCAGGGCAGAUAAAAAAUAGUGAGGGGCGAGCUGGUGAGAUCAAAUUGAGAAGUAAGGAAGACAAGCAAAACUUUUGAGUGAUCGCGUCGUCUCUCGCACGAUCACUCCACUAGCGCUGCCGCCGUGGUCUGUUUUCCUCCCUUUCCUCCCUCCCAUCACCACCCUUCCCCUCUCCCAAAUCCAAUAUGGUCGCGGUGGCCAGAUUCGUGGUUGAUUCCGGUUGGAUUUGCGUGGUGGCGGCCGGAUUUGGCCGACGUAAGCGAAAUUUGUGUGGUGGCAGCUGAAUUCGACGCCACGCGCUUUGAGCUAUGUUUUUGCAGAGCUAGUCUAGUAUCUGGAUUGUUUGGGUUAAUCGUCUAACCAAAACACAAGAAGAGUGAAUUGGGUUGUAACAGUUAGAGUAGAAAAAACCAAGAUCACGUAGAUCCGCUCAUUCAGAAGAGAGGGGGGGAACACGUUUACUAUCUUGGAAAGAAACGAAAUCAAGUUCGGAAACACAACCUCUAGAUCCUCCCAAGUCCGGUGGAUAUUUCAAUGGAAUCGGGACAAGACCAAACCAGAAUGGCUCACACCAGAAAUGUGCAAAGCUUCCCCAUCAACAACAUAAUCACGCAACUCCUUAGUGACGGAAACGAGCUGUGGUGGUUGUGACUUUGCGGUGGUGUGUGUGGAAGCAUGGGUGUUGUAACUUUGAAGUGGAUGCUGAGUGUGCAAGAUGACACUGGUCCUCGGAUAAUAUCGGUUGAGCUUCUGACUUUCGACAAUUCGACUUACUCCCUUUAUUUCAAAUUAUACAAUAUUUUGACUUUUCUAGAUUCAUAAGUGUUUAUAUGUAUCUAGAUAUACAAUAUAUUUAGAUGCAUACGAAAUUAGAAGAGUCAAAACAACCUAUAAUUUAGGACGGAGGGAGUGCUAGGUAGGGAGGACACUUCAGCCUUCGGGGAAAGCUGUACUUGGGGCCGUAGCUUCCACGCAACAAGCGUAAAGGAAUCGGGCUGUCGAUGUGGUGACGAAGACCCGAAUUCGGUGAACACGGUCUCGAAGAACGGACGCCACUGCGCGUAGUUGGAAUUGACGAACGAGAUCCAAAACAACGGGAACAUGAGACCGAAUGUUUACCAUCUGGAUCGUGGCAGCCGGAAUUGCUGGAGGUGCAGGUGGACGUGGAGGAGGAGGCUAAAUUAAAGAACAGCUGCACGCAGGCAGUUUGCAAACGUACACAUGCACAGCCUAUACAUAAACCGACCUUUGCUGGUGCGUGGCGAACCCGACGGUGGCGAGCGCCGUGGUGCAGGGGUGCAGGCGGCGAUGGACUGCGCGUGCGGGUCGGGCGCGGACUGCGGCAUGGCGGCGCACGCCUCAUUCGCCUUCAACACCUACGGGCAGCGCACCAAGGCCGCCGGCGGGACCUGCGACUUCGCCGGCGCCGCCAUGCUCGUCACCAGAGAUCCCAGUAAGCCUCGCUGCGCAUGUUCUCAACUUCGUGCGUUGCGCUGUCGCAAGUAUAUUUUGUUUGGACGUAUGGGCCAAGCCUGUGAGCUAUUGGGGCCGAAUAACAACAGUGAGGCCGAUUUAAGUGGGCCUGAACUGAACUACCAACGGCCCGCGGGCCUCACGGGCCCAUUUGAACAGUUGAUCGUUUUUUUUUUCGUUCGCAAUUUUUUUAAAUACUCUUAAUCGUUUCUGUAGAAAUUUAUGUGUGGGCUCUGUUUUGUUUCUGCAGGUUAUGAAGGUUGCAAAUACGUAUCCAUGUGAAUGAUAUUUUCGAUACAUUCUUGUGCAAAUAACCACCCUGCUGGCUGCUGUCGACUGCAUCAUCAAUUCAUCAUUCAUCAGUCCAUACAUGUCAUAUUGUUUUUAUUAGUUGGUCUACCUCUACCUGUUAUAUCAUAGGCAUAAACGGUUGUUUUGUAUUUCUUCUGUUUUGUAAGAAGAAAGGAACUGGGUUGAUGUAUGGAUGGUAAAAUUGCAGAGUAUUGAGGAACAAUGAUUUGAGUGUGUUUGGAAUUUGGAGCGCAAAAAACACUGCAGGAAUCGGAAUUUUUUCCUUGGAAAUCGCAAUCAACAUUAGUUUUUAGCAUAGAAAAGGCUGACAUUUAUUUUUUUUAAAAAAAUCAUAUUUCACAUUUUUUAAGUAGGUUCUUAUUAAAAUGACACUGGCUUAAGACUAGGCGACUAGCUAACGUUUUCAAUCGGCAAAACAACUGCAAGCUCAACAUUAUUUUGGCAAGUGUCAUAUGCGUUGGAACAUGAUACUUGUGUGAAAUAAGAUCAAACACUAAGUAAAUAUAUAAGAAAUAGCUAUAUACGUACUCCUCGCAAAAAAUAAAAACAAACUAGCUAUAUACGUAGUACUAGUAUCAUUUCCUCUUCAUGAUGAAGUUUAAAGCAUAUUAUAUUUUAUACUCGCUAUUUCCUCUUCACUGUAGACAGAGGUACACUACUGCAGUUUUCCUAUUUCCAUAGGGUUUGAAUUUCUAUGAAAAGGCCUCAAAACGAUAGGGGUAUACUUUGCCUACGGGUUUGGGUAGGGAGCAUUGUUUUGCGAUCCUAGUGAUCCGUUGCUCUUUUCUUUUUGACAUUGACUUUUGUAAUAUUUUGCUAUGGUAUUCAAUUGGUUAUGUUGUAUGGAGACUUGUACCAUGCUAGGCAUUCAGCCGUGUUUGGCAAGAGUCCGGUUUUCUGGAAACGGAGAAGGCGUUUUUCACUAAAAACACCAAUUUAGAUGAUUCUCUUUUAAUAAAUAAAAUAGAAACGUCUCUUCGGUUUCUCAUCGCAAUAAAAAAUAGGAGGGCUUUUCCGAUCGAAAUGAAGAAGUCAUGCCAAAUGGCCAAUCAUCAUUUAGCAAGAAAAGUGCACCACAUCGGACUAAUCUCAAUGAAAAGUUUCGUGUGAUGUUUUUAAGAUAGUCACAUAAGCAAGAUUGAAAUGAAAUGGUGUUUGAAAUUACCACCCCAAUACAUAAUUUCAUGGUGUGGUUUCAUACGAUCAAAAUCGUAUUUAAUUUCAUGACUCAUAGAGCGUUGAUAUUCGUAUACAGUUGGUUUCAUCCCGGUAAAACUAGUUCUCUCUCUCAUCUUUAAUUUUAUACAUGUCAAAAAAUCCUACGCGGCAUGUUAAUUAAUGAGAAUGAAAGCUCGUGAAAUUUCGUAUUGGGAGUAGCCUCACAACCCCCAAACAGAUAUCUGUUACUGAUGCUAGACCAGCUGACAUGGAUCCGAUCUGUGUUUGGUCUGUUGCUGACAUAGCACACCUAUCCCGUGCAAUUUGCAAGGAAAGGCUUGUCAAUAGAAAAAGAAAAGCUACGAGCUACUCACAGCUUGGCUCGAAGCGGCUCGAUUUGAGAUCGGCUCGUUUAGAAAUCGAGCCGAGCUGGAGGCCCAAGCCCCGAGCUCGCGAGCUUUGACUAGCCAAUCUUGAGCUAGGCUCGUUUCACGUUUGUUUCUUUCGCUCCACCAGUAACCGUAACCGGCAGCUCGAAACCCUGGACCCACAAGUCAGCGUGUCACCCACAGAGACCAACGGGCCCCACGUCAUUCCCGUCCCCCAGUUCAGCGCUGCCCCCGGAUCUCUCCCUUCCUGCUCGUCGUCUCCUCGCUCGCCGCCCGGCCACCUGCGCCCACCGGCGGCUGCCCUUCCACAGAUCCCGUGCCCCCCCCUCGGUCGUCGCCGACCAGCCGGUGUUCUGCAAUCUGCACGGAUCUCAGGUUCGGCUCACUUUUUGUCGAACUUGAGGUUGAGGUCGCGGGCGAGCUCGAGCUCGGCUCGUUGGCUGCCCAUUCAUCUCAAUUCUCACCUAGUGCAACAGGACACGUACCCUCUGUCCGCUUUCUGUCCAAGUCCUAAUAAAGUAUGCUUAAAAUCUGAAGAACCAAAACCGUGGACCAUCACCGCCGGUAUCCCAUCCCAAUUCCACAGAUUUGAGGUUUCCACACUCGUCAUUCCCAGUACUUAUACCACCCGAAAAUCCAAGCGAAAUCCCACCUCCCAGACCUCGAAGCCUGGAGCUCACAGGCGACGGACGCGAAGAUUCGAUUCCUGCGAUUCUUUGGAGCCCUCUUGUGCCGCCGGGUUCUUGAAAUCUUAGGCCGCGAUUUUUGUUUCCUCCCUUUCCGGUUGGACGGCUGCCGUGGCUGGCGCACCCUUUUGUUGGUUCUUGCCGUGUUCUUGCGCUGCUGAUUGCCUGACCGGAUCUUGUGUUUCUUCGGUUCCUUGCAGGCAUUGUUGGCGACCGGAGGCGCAACCGUCGAUCCUUGGAUUGAGGUAAUGGAGCAUUUUGGAUUUGUUCCUGGCACUUUCUGGUGGAUUAUUUCCUUUCAGUAUUUGCUUGGUUUUCUUGCAAAAUAAAAUGAAUGUGGAUCUAAACCAGGGUAGAUUAGAAUUUAGAUGGCCUGGAGGUGUUAGUAAUAAUUGAGGAAAGAGAUAUGUUGCUUGAAUUAGUUACAACCGUACAGGGGGGUUGGAGGGUUUCUUGGUAGAGAUGGCACAUUCAUUCUUGCUAACUUCCUGCCUGGUUGCUGUGAUCAGUGUUGCUGUGAUCAGUGUUGCUGUGCUCAGCAUUCACUACUGAAUUUGUUUCACUACAAUAUUUCCAAACAAGGGAUGAAAUGUACCACGAGUGUUGAACUUCACCGUGCAAGUAUGAACAUUCAUCCUAGAUGCCACAUCGCUAACUGGUGUGACAGUAUGUUUGAUUUCCCAGCAUGGCUCCUUUUCAUUCAACUCGCCAUUUGUCAUGUUUUCCAGAUGUUUCUCUUUUUAUAGUGAGAUAUAGUUCUUGUCAUUUCAGCUGGUAGAUUUUGUGUCACUGAUUUACUUUAGUCUUCAGUAACGUUCAUUUUUGUAUUAUAGCAGAUUGCCCCUUUCACUAACUGUUGUGACAAUAUGUAUGAUUGCCCAGCAUUGCUCCUUUUCAUUCAAUUCCCCAUUUGUCAUGUUUUCCAAAUGUUUCUCUUUUAUAAUGAGAUAUAGUUCUUGUCAUUCAGCCGGUAAAUCUGUGUCGUUACUUCAGUCUUCAGUAACGCUCAUUUUUGUAUUAUAGCAGAUUGCCCCCUUUGACUUAAAUUCUGUGUUUUAUCUGUUGCAAAGCAUUAGUUGAAUAUGGAUAAAAUAUGUCACGUAUUAGUUGGGAGGGCAGGAGGAGCAUCUCAUUGCAAACUUAAUUUCCAAGUGCAAAAGAUUUAGCUUAUUGUGAUGUUGCCUUUCAUGCCUAUGAUAUAUUAUAAGCUCAGGCACUCUAUAUGUAUAGGUAAUUUUGUAAAUACUGAAAGCAUGCCAUAUUUAUAACUCCCAUUUUGCUGGUUCUGUAAAAGUGGUUGGUUUGGUCCUAAUUUUCACUGUGACUUUGCAGAUAGAUUGUAUAUAAAGGCUGCAGCUCAGAUCAUUAUCAAGCAUGUCUCUCCUCUCGAAGUUACGCUUGAUCACCGUGGAUGUGACUGGUACACUGAUCGCCUACAAAGGACAUCUUGGGGAUUACUACUGUAUGGCAGCUAAGUCAGCUGGGAUGCCAUGUCCUGACUAUAACCGCAUGCAUGAGGGCUUCAAGCUUGCAUACACUGAGAUGGCAAGACAGUAUCCAUGCUUUGGAUUUGCAGCAAAGAUGCCAAACAUUGAAUGGUGGAGGACUUGUGUUAAGAACUCAUUUGUUAAGGUAAGACCACUUUCUAAAUAUGGAGCCUGUCAGGACAAGUGAUGUCUCUUUUUCAUGUUGAGAGGGCUUAGUGAUUCAGUUGCUCUAUAAUCUGUUUUUUUCCUGCAGGCUGGCUAUGAUUAUGAUGAGGAGACAUUUGAGAAAAUCUUCAGGCGCAUUUAUUCUGCUUUUGGCUCCUCUGCGCCAUACUCUGCAUUUCCUGAUGCACAGCCCUUCCUGAGGUGGGCGCGGGAGAAGGGACUCACAGUUGGGAUUGUCAGCAAUGCAGAGUACCGCUACAAAGAUGUAAUCUUACCAGCUUUAGGGUUGAAUCAGGUGCGAUAACCCCUAAAUUAUGUGAGAUAGUUACAUGCUUCUGUAAUAAUUGUUCUCUCAGUGUUCAUAAAUGGAGUGGCCUAACACUCUGAAUCUCUGAUACAUGUCUUGGUCUUGCAACUAGGGCUCGGAAUGGGACUUUGGGGUCUUUUCAGGCGUUGUUGGUGUUGAGAAACCAGAUCCAAGAAUUUACAAGUUAGCGCUCGAGAUGGCAGGAAACAUUGCGCCAGAAGAAGCACUCCACAUAGGUGACAGCAUGCGGAAGGACUACAUCCCUGCAAGGAGCAUUGGGAUGCAAGCGCUGCUCCUGGACCGGUUCAAGACCGCUGACGCUGAGAGCUGGAGGCAGUCUGGCACGACGGUGCUACCCGACCUGGUUGCCACUCAGGAGUGGCUCACCAAGAACCAGAAUGAGGAGCCGAAGCAUGAGACAGUAGCAGCUCAAGUGCUGAACAGAAUGUCUGAAAAGCUCAAGAUGGGGGCUUAAGCCCAGAGUUCCUUUUCAUGCGCUAGUUGUGAACUGAAGAUCCUACAGGUGGAAGGAGACAGGUUCUUGACUGCUGGCUAAUGUAAUUAGCUUGAACUGCUGGGUGUUCUUGUAGCUGCUUCCGGGGCUUAUGCUGAUUGCUGAAUAUGACUAGCAAAUCAGUGUGUCAUGAGUCGAAGAUUUCGGGUUCUGUUUUCCAUUCUUCACCUGUGUGGAUGAAUAAAGAAGAGGAAAUGGAUUUCGAAUGUCUCGAGCUUUCUCCAUUCUUAACAUGCGUAGAAGGGCAUUUUGAUUCGUGCAGCUUGUACUUCCAAUAUAAAUUAGAUAACAACGGAAGAUAAUAUAAAAUAAUAGCUGAUAUACAAAUCGGUUGACACCAUUCGCUCAUCACAUAGUUAUCAAUUUGUACAUUACUUGGUACCUUUCCAUUGAGAAUAUUACAAUCAACCUACAUCAAGAAGCUGAAUACCACACACGGCUAACAUUCGGCAGCCGAAUCAUGCAGCAUUGGAACAUCACACGGUAUAUAUAAUAUUACACAGGGAAUCGUUUUGAGCUCUCGUACCACGAAACAAGGCAUUAGGGAUCAAUAGGUAUUCUCACCCCUACAUGCAGCCCUACGAACAAAGAACCAAAGAAACAAAACAACAUAGUCACGUAGAUCCCUUUGCAAACAAUGUACAUGAAGUUCUAGCCUCAAGAGACUCGCUUAUGCUCAGCAGCGAUUUCUUGUUUUGGGUAAUGCAUUUCAUACAAGUUACAUCUAUUAGUUGGGCCACUUUCUGCGCUGUGGGGUUCCAAAACAUCUUAGCGGCCUGCAGGGUGCCUGUUCCAGGACAAGUAGUUGUGGUCUCCCAGUUUCCUGCAGAAGGCCACAAAUUGAAUUAGCAACUUACAAAGAAAUCCAGCCAGCGUAUCAGUGAAAACUAAUGCUGGAUGCUUUAACAGGCGUAGAGAAGCCCUGCGAAGAUCAUUCUUAUGAUAAAAGCCUUAACCGUCCAGGCAUACUCAAAACACAACAGGAUAAGCAAAAUAGCAGUGUGUAGAAUCAAAGAAAACCAGCACAGCUCGUUGCCUGGUUCAUGGUUCUAGUCCACCAAAAUUACAGGAGAAGGUGCUCCUCCAGAAGUAUUUUCUACAACAGAACCAAAGUCGUAUGGCAUGAAAUGUACUCAUACAAUCCAAAGCCUCAGGGCCACGUCAACCUUAAUUGGCCUAGGAGAUGCUAGGAUAGAUUGGGCUGCACAAAACAUAAUCAGAAUACCUGCCUACAGGUUUUCUACAACUUUGAUAGGCUAAACCCAGAUUAUUUCACCGCAAGCAUCACAUUCACAAUAUGGCUAUAUAUAUAUAUAUAUAUAUAUAUAAGGGGCUCAUGGACUAGAUCUAGAAGCUUACAAUAUCCAGCACACAGCUUAUCAAUUUCCAAGCGAUUGCAGCAUACAUGAGUUAAAAAAGUUACUAACCUUGGUUUUAUGAAGUACAGCAAGGUGAAUGCGAAUGCCAGGAAAAUGCAGAGCCCACCAACUAUAAGGUAUGCAAAGCCAAGAAAAUCGUUCUUCCCUCCGAGCCAAGUUGCAGUGGAUAGGACCAGCUUUUUCUUGCCACCGAAGCUAUAUGUAUUGUAGUUGUUACUCAACCUCACUGUUAUUGUGUCAUUCUCCUUGAGGUCAAAGUAUAUCCUCCCAUAUAACUUUCUGAAAGUAGGAAGUGCUGCUGUCCUCAUCCAAACAAUGAGGUCCUCUUGCUCGCUCAACUGUCACAUAAAACACAAUUGACAUGAAUAACUCACAUGGAUAUUCCAUACCGAGGUAGCUUUACUAUAUCUAAGUGAAAGAAAUCAAUCAAAACAUACAUUAUGAUGCUGCAGAUUUAUAGUAGUAAAUGAACAAGAGUCCUCCUAUGACCAAAAUAUUCCACAAUGUUUUAGUGUCGAACAAGGGUUCACAUACCGGGACCGUUGGGUUAAGAGUUGCUCCACCUUUAAGUGCACCAUUCUGGAAGUUGCUCGGAUAGACAUCUUUGCCAAAUUUGUGCUCCCUAUCACUCUUCCAGGAGAUGUCUUUCUUGUCCACCGUCAAGUUAUCAUUACCACGAGUGAAACUAUAUGUAUCAUUAAACAAGCUCCAAGCAAUAAGACCACAAGGAACAAUUGGUUGUCCAUUAGCCGUGGUCUUCUCAGGUUCACAGGCGGAUGUCUGGUUAGCUUUACGCUUAUCUCUUAGCUGUGCAUCAUUUCGGCUCUUUACAUACCUGAAUUGGGAAAACGUUAUGCACAAUAAAUCUCCAUUUCAAAGCUAUUCUCUUCUUUUUCUUUGGCAGUAUGAUAUUGAAGGUAGCAGUUAAUUUGCGAUGCAUCAUGUUUUUCAAUUUCAAUAGCACCACAUAAAAUUUCAAAAUCAGGAAGUUGAAUAGCUGCCAAUUUAUGCAAAAAUCUAAGAUUCAAUCUGAAAAUCUCAAAAGAACAUCAUACCUCCUAUGGUUCUGGUAGAAGUUAUCGAGUUCGUAAUACACAAAUAUUGGCUGCUUCAUAUCCUUCGUAACCUGGAGACAAACAACUAAAUAAAUUUUUCCAAGAAAAUUGUGCUUAAAGAUGUAUGCUUACAGAUGCAUGUUUGUUCCACCUUUUUUUUUUAGCAAAAUGUUUGUUCCAACUUUAUAAACAUUUCAAAGAUCUAUUUAACUGCACUUUUGCUGCUACAACAACAACAACAACAACAUAGCCUUUCAGUCCCAAGCAAGAACUUUUGCUCCUACUAUGCCCCAAUAUUUUAAACUGCAAAUCAAUACCCAGAAAAGUCUAAGGUUAUUACCGUUAGAUUCCUUAUGCAUUCUUUGGAUAUGGUUUCAUUCUGGAUGUAAGCAAGCUUGUUAUCAGUCAUGUUGCCUGGCACACACGCCUCAUCGUACCGAUCAAUAAUCUCAACAACCUGCAACCAGUGAACACAAAUAAACAAAUAAAAACACAAACUAUCACAAAACUUAUUUUAACAUAAGGCCAAGACAAAAGGAAGCAUACAUCUCGUGCAGCUAGCAGCGAAACAACACCGAUGGGAACAAAAAUGACACCAACGAUGAAGAACACCGAGACAACCUACACAACACAAGUCAAACAUCGAAACAUCUGUGAGCUACUCCAAAAUAUUUUUUUUUCUUAUCCUCCAAAACCUAUAGUGUCAUAAUCUCCACAACGAGAAAAACUUACCCAUUUUGGAGUAAGAAUUGGCUUACAAGCCGGCAGCUCCUGCUGUGUGAACUUGGAAUCUGUACAUAAGAAUUUAGGAGUAAGAAUGGGGUUGCAAUCCGCAAAUGCAAGUCACAUCACAAGCUUAGCAUUCUUCUAACAGAUUGUACCAUUUCUGACCUCAUAGUUUCAUUGAUACCCAGUAUCCAUAGUUCCAUACACAUGCAAUCUAUAGUCUAUACUGUCAUUCCUGAACUAGUUUGAAGCUUUUUUCUUCUAGAUUGAAACUAUCCGUAUCUUUAAGGAACUAGAACUAAUACAACCACGUACCGACCAGAUUGACAGGUUUUCUUCUAGAUUGAGUAGAAUAUCACUAACGAACAAUACAAUCAUGUAGCACCUAGAUUGACGGUUUCUCUGCUAGAUUGAGCUUGCUACAAUCACUGAGCAAAUUAAACCAUCAUGAAUUGAAGCAACUAGAUUGACUGUUCUUCUUUCGCUGAACUGAACUAGCCAUAAUCACUACGCAAAUAAACCUUCAUGCGCCAACUAUUCUGAUGUUUUUUUCUUCUGGAUUGAACAAGCUACAAUCACUGAGAAGCAAGCUCACACGCUUUCAAAUAUGGCAGCUAAAAAGGAUCGAUCGUAUUGACGCCAAAGGAGACCACAAGCUAGCAGAAUCUCCAAACCCAAAGGGGUCCAAAUUAACACCGUACCACUAGCCCCAGGCUAUAUCCUCGGCGAGAACUCGCCGCCCCUUGCCUUAUCCUGACGGAAACGAGGAACCACGAAGACGGCAAGCGUACGCUAAAGAGAUUCGGCGCGAGAUCUCACACUUGGGCAUCCGGGUGUUCCUCCUGGCCGCGCCCGCGGCGGCCGCAUCCACGGAUCCGCCGUUGCUGGUCCCGGCCGCAUGGCUGCUCAUCUCGCCUCCCGCCACCGACCCCUCCGCCCUAGCAGCCAACCAAGGGGGGACCCCGCGGAAGCCGCCGCCCGGUCUGGCUGCGCGGACUGGGCGUCGUCCCGGCCGCCGCGAGAGGACGCUCCUCCCCCGCCGGAGCGGGCCGAUGAGGGAGGCGAGGAGCUUCCCCGCCGCGAUCUAGCUCGAUGCUGCCGGCUUGCUUGCUGGCGAAGGUAAAGGGAGCUGGGGGGAGCAGUGGUGAUUUGAUUCGGAGUUCUGACCAGCAGGGCGACUCGGGAGGAGCCGAGGAGGACGAAAGGGAGGGGCGCUGGGCGAGGUGGUUGGGCUGGGUUGGGUUCGUGUCGAGCCGGCGGCGACAACAGGGGGGCAGCGGGGCCCAACCGCGAACCGUCCAGUGGCGUGCCCUAUUCUUCUUCUAGAAGACUACUAGAAUGUCAUGUUUUUUUUCGGUACUUGGGUUUACUCCAUGUGUAUUUUCGUACGAUUCUCGUGUUAGAAAAAUACUCAUCGUAAUGGGUUGUAAAAGAUUGGAUAUACAAUCAGCCUCUGAAAUUGAAAUUGGAGCACCCUCGUUUGCACGGACUAACGGGCGAGAAAGAUAUGCCCAGACAUGAAGCAACGUAAACACACUAAGUUGACGUACAAACGAACACUAGAAAACACCGAGCACACACGGCAGCGGAAGCAUCUUGCUAAAGCCCAACGCCAUGGGCACGUCGGGUGCGAAAGCAACCUUCUACUCGAAGUCUUCACCGGCAGCGAAGUUCGGAUCUUCCUUUAAUCCAACAAAGCAAGGUGAGUGUAAAAGUAUUCAACAAGUCCAACCACACCCACGUAGAGGGAUAACAAGAAUAUGCAUAAGGUAUAACAAGGAUCAUGGAGGGAUUCAUUUGCGAUAAAGCUAGAUUUUACCCCAUGCAUGGUUUCGUUUUUAAAGGACUCUUCACAAAACAUUAUUUAAUAAACCGAAUUAAUUGAAUGGGGUUGAUCCUACACAAGGAUCCAAGUUUUAAUACUACCGAACCCCCCAUCCGCGGUAGCACACGGCAUAACUGCUGAACACUUUCUGAAAUUUAUACUCAAGCUAAGAAACCCAUCAAUUUCGUAAAAGCUAGUUAUGUGCGCAAACCGUAACUCGUUCGAUACCGUGGACACGGCUAUCCGAAUAGAUUUUAACUCUGCAGAGGGGUACACUUUACCCACAAGUAGAGUACCGCGACACAAACACCUUAGUAUUGGCGCGGAUCCUAGCAAAGCCAUUACCCACCUUAGCUAAGAUCUGAUUAACCAUUAUGGAAGUAACCAUGGGGUUAAGGACCUACCAACAAGACCUUAACCGGGACCUAAGCCUACACAUGCUUACUCCUUCUCCAUGCUCUUCCAUUGCUCAACCAGCACACUUAUGAUUAAUAGACUUGCUAGUGAGAUUUAUGCUAAGCUUUUACCUCAUACAAAGGUCGAGUGGUUGCAUGGUAGUUUAGGUUAGCAAGAUGACACAUCAACUCGGUCCUUAAACAUGAUAAGACGGAUACCUCCUAACCUGCUCAACCACUAAGGUACGAGCCCAGCUGAUAUUUCAUAUAAGAAACACUCGUCCGUCUCGUCUAACCACUUUCUUUUAUCCCUUCCCUAAAAUUCAUUUAUUUUCCUUAAAACACUCAACGCAUUUAUUCAUUGAUAAAACACAAUGUAACCAUGAUUGAAUUGUAAUAAAGUGAUUAACAAGAUUCUAAGCAUUCUAGCGACAAUUAUCAUCCAAACAGAGCAUAUCAUAUUUAGAGAUAAUCCUAAGUCAUCAAGGAACAACCAUAGCAAUCAAGGGGUGGCUAUCCAACCAGGUUUCAUCUAAGCAAUAAAACAAUAUAUGCAAUUUAUAAAAAUGGUCAAUAGGUUAUAUCUGAAAAACUAGGAUAAAUAUGCAUGAAAGGGUGAGAUUCGACUUGCCGUCUCCAAAGUCUUCUGGAAGCUCCUGCUCGCGAUACAGGUCUUCUGGCUCCGGCUUGCGAUACCGGCCUCCAAAUUGGUUCUCCUCCUCGGUUACUCCAUCAGCUAUGGCGACGACGACGCAAAAGACAAAUAAACGCAAACAAGCGCAAACACAAAAUAAAAUGAGCUUAAACGGAGAGGAGAAUAACUGGAAUAGAUAGAAUAUAAUUUUAGAGGAAUUUAGAAAAAAGAAUCAAGUGAAUUGAAGUUUUAACGUGGGAGAUAUGACUAUGUAAAAAUUAGCUACUAAUUACGAAAAUAAUUUAACAUAACUGCACGGAGGCUUCCCAGGUUAAACGAACGGAGGCUUCAUGGGUUUCUGUCAGUACGUGAGUGGCUUGGUGGUGUUUUGAGCCCACACGUCAGUAGCGGCCUAGGAUUGAUUAGUGUUUUGGCCUGAGAAACGAAUGUAAGAGAGAGAGAAAGACACGGAGGAGUCUUUAGCGACUCUAAAAUUCCCGUUUAGAUACUAGUUAGUAUAAAACAUAGACUAAUUAUAAAACCAAUUGCAUAGAUGGAGAUUAAUUUUCGAGACGAAUCUACUAAGCCUAAUUAGUCCAUGAUUUGACAAUGUGAUGCUACAGUAAACAUGUGCUAGUGAUGGAUUAAUUAGGCUUAAUAGAUUCAUCUCGUGAAUUAGCCUCCAUCUGUGUAAUUAGUUUUAUAAUUAGCUCAUGUUUAGUCCUCCUAAUUAACAUUUGAAUAUUCGAUGUGACAUGAAUUUUAGGAGGUCGUAAAGAACAAACACCUCCUAAGGCUCAUCCGCCAUGGGAGGCGGCUGAAGCUCACUGAAGUUCGGCCACCGUUUUUUAAUCCAAGGGCAUAGGGAGAGAGAGGAGUGGAUAGGGAAGCUCGGCAUAGGCUCACCUCGGGCAGGGGCAGCUUGGAGAGGGAGAUCGAGGCAGCGCCCUAUUCUUGUGUGGAGGAGCAAAUAGCUUGAUUUAGGGAGGGAGAAGGUGGGAGGCACAGCUGGGCGGCUCGGCGAGCUCGGGAUAGCGUCGGAGAGCAGCUCAGGGUGGCUUUUAUAGGCGGCGAGGGCGGAGCUGUGCCAGUGGCUCACCUGCUCGCCAUGAAUGGCGACGUUGUGGCCGGGCAGCAGAUUGCGAGCAUCGGCUUGCUGCGGUGGUGGCGCUGGGACGACGCGGCGUUGACGGCGCGUGCGACGAGGUGGUAGCGGCGUGGUUGAGGUGGGGACACGGCAAGGGGCGGCACGAUGUGGUGCCGAGUGGCAAGGCGUGAGUGAGCUUGGCGGGUUUUCUGCGAGUGGAGCGAGGAGGGGCGAGCGCGCGUGGUGCACGGUAGCAGCGAGCGGUCGUGGCACUUGAGCAGAGCGAGGGUGAGCGCAGCGAGCGAGGGGGGUCCAGCAUGCGAAGCUCCAGCUUUUGCUCGGCUCGUGUCGCGCGCAUGAGAGUUAUACGGGUUACGUACUGGGCAGUAUGCGUGUGAGGAGAGGGAGAUGAUGUGCAUGGCAAGGGGGUUGCGUCUGAGCGAAGCUCAUCUUUGUUUUGUGCGUGCACAGGCAGGAAGUAUGAGUGAGAGGGAUUAGAGGGAAAUGAUUGAUUAAUCAGAUUGUUGGCUUAGGUAGAAUAGAGAUAGAAGCAAGUUAACUGGCUGCACUAAUGGAAAGGGAGAUUAAGGGCCUGUUUUCUUCCACUUGCUAAACUUUAGCACCCGUCACAUCGAAUGUUUAGAUACUAAUUAGGAGUAUUAAACGUAGACUAUUUACAAAACCCAUUACAUAAGACGAAUCUAAACGGUGAGACGAAUCUAUUAAGCCUAAUUAGUCCAUGAUUUGACAAUAUGUUGCUACAGUAAAUAUUUGCUAAUGAUGGAUUAAUUAGGCUUAAUAGAUUCGUCUCGCCGUUUAGAUUCCACUUAUGUAAUUGGUUUUGUAAAUAGUCUACGUUUACUACUCCUAAUUAGUAUCUAAACAUUCGAUGUGACACGUGCUAAAAAUAAGACACGGGAAGAAAACGCCCCCUAAGCUAGGGAUAGAGUUUAGAUGGGAAAAAAGGAAUUGACCCCGAGAGUAGUUUUGCAAUGUUUUGAAAUUAGAUUUUAAAACAGGUUUUAAAAUUUUUGAAUUUGAGUGAUUUUUAGGUUUGAAUUUUCAGGCUGUUACAGAGAUAGGGUUGGGUAUACAAAUAUACAAUAUAACAGAGGAGACUUAUCCAAUAUACGAAUCAUGAGCCUAUUUUGUGCUGCUCUCAAUUGGUGUAUAUUAUAGGACAAAAGGAGAUUCAGUCAUGGAAACUAAACUUCUAGAGGCAAUAUUAAUAUAUUAUAAAUUUUUCAGAUAAUAUUUUAUUAUGAAAAGGGGGCAAUAUUAUAUUUUUAAAUUUACAAAGAUGGCACCUGCUACAAUACAUCUAACUCAUGUGUAGAUGAAAGCGGCUCCUAACCUAAAAAUAGUUUUUUUUCUUAUAAGAUCCUAAAAUAACAAAAAUUAUAAACAAAACUGCUAGAAACACUUUAUGAUGGUGAAAAUGCAGCUAGAGGCAAUGUUUUUUAUUAAUAUAAUCAAAACCGGACUACAUCAUGAAAAGCAGCCUAAGGCUAAUCCCACUACAUUGUAUGUGCCGCGUAGGAUUAUUUUUUGACAUAGCAAAUAAUUAAGGAAGAGAGAAGAAAUCUAUUAUAUCUUUCGAGAAAAUACAGCUUUUGGCUUGAUGUUGUUCAAGACUGGAGAACUGUGUAGAUUCUUUAAACGUAUGAUUCUAAUCCUAACUCAUGCAACAAUUGUUGAAUAAUUGGGUUCUUAAGAAAUAACAUUAACAGGGGCGAAUCCAAGUAACACCCGAAGGGGGGCUAAGCUCUUCUUCUCCUUCUUCCGCUACAUCUUCUCUCCCUUCCUUUUAUUCUCCCCUCAUCUUUCUACUCCCCUAGCUCCCUUGCUCCAAUGGAAGCUACAACCACUUUUUUGAAACGAACCAGGCAGGAGAGCUGCCGAUUAUAUUAAAAGAAGAUGAAGUCCAGACUUGAUGAAAACAACAAAAAAAAGAAAAACAAUGCAAACACUGAUAGGUUGGAUUGGGUCAUCAACGCAUGCUGCACCACGUACUCAGACGCAACUCAACUCUACAACACAUCGGCUGGUUGGAUUCCUAUAUCAACACACGCUAAACUUAACUCCUCUCAAUACCUCAGCGCCAGAACCGAAGCCUUACCGCAGCCCGUACUACCGUACAUAUGGUCAAGAAGUGCCGAAACCUCCUAGUGUAACCUAGCGUCGACGUUGAACCGAGAAGCAGACUGCACCGCAUCGAGAAGGCCACCACCAUGCAGGACCUUCCACCAUAGUGCUGGUGUAACAUCACUCUCCACCUGACAGGGUAAUAGCGCCAAAUCCGGACCUCUCGCACUCGCCGCCACGAUAACACAACACGUGGGGGGCCUCACCACAUCCGCCGUUGGACUAUGCCUCUCUCUCGUCGCCUCGAAGAGACACCGUGCGCGGGGGCCUCGCCACGUCUGCCGCAGUACUCCACAUCAUGGAUCCGUUUCUUUUGUCGCUGUCAGAGUGUUGAGCGAUAUUGCCUCGCUCCCCAAGAUCUCCAUUGAUCAGCCAAGCCGUCGCAGUGUGUCAACCUCGCUUCGUUUCUUCACCCUCACACAUAGCCUUCUCCAUAGUGUCAGCAAGCUAGAGAAGUCGCUUGCUUCAUCUUCCGAUGAUGUACCACACCGGAUAGUCCAGCCAAGCAGAGCAACCUACCACAGUCCGCUGCAAGCUUAGUCGUCCCAUGCUGCCGUUGCCGCAAGCGCCGUCCUUCGGCGCAGUUCCACACCACACUGACCGCUGCCAAGCAACAUCAGCCACUGCGGUCCGCUGCAAGCAGCUAAAUUCGACAAUCAUGCAACAACCCUUAGCCGCCACUAUAACUUUGAUCACCUGCACAUGGGCUCGGCAACACCCAUUCAGUUCACCACAUGGCGGAGUUGCUGCCAUCAGUUAUGGCCUCCCAUGACGAUGGUUCAGCAAUGCCACGAACCAAAUUGGGUCUCUAGAGAUGACGCCUCCAAGGAGAGUACGACACAAUGGCAUCAUCAUCGCUCGUCCAGGAUCUGGACAGGAUUUUCACCUAGAGAAUCCCGUGCAGUAGGGUCGUAAUCCAACAUGACGCCCCUAACGAGGAAGACGACGUCCUAGGACGCCACCAUCAUGUCCACCGGCAUGAAGGCCGGUGAGGGCUUUCACCUCACUGCACGUACAUGGUUUCGCACUCCUGGACCACUGCUACAAUAACCCAGCCGAGGUGCCGCCACCGCCGCGCCUCCACUUGCCAUGCCGCCGUACCUCCACCUCCAUUUCUGUCGCCACCAUCCACCGCUACCUACGCGCCGCACCCUCCACCGCCUGCACCUGCCUGCCGCUGUCGCCGCCGCGUGUCCGCUUGCCGUUCCACCGCCACAUGGCGUUCCUCCUAGCCGCGUGCACUUCCCGGACGCGCUCCUCCCGGCCGUGGUCCUCUCGGUCGCCGCACGCUCCACCCGGCCACCGCGCUCCUCCCUGCCGUCGCGCUUCUCUCCCAGCCGGCGCUCCUCCGUUGCCCGCGUCGGCUAGGUAGCCUUCAUCCGCCGUGCCAGCCGCCACCACUUGGCCUCCACGACUCGCGCCGAGCCGCCUCGCAACUGCCAGCGUCGGCCCUCCGCCCGUCCACCUUUGCGGCCACCCCGCGCCAGCCCGUCGCUGCUGCUCCGCACGGGCAUACGCAGCGGCUGCCGAAGAUGCGUAUCCUCCACUGAGCCGCAGAGCGCCACCUUCCUCACCGAGCCCCCCGUGCGUGCGGCCUAUGGCUAGCGCCGUCGGCAGUAGCACCGUGCAGAUCCAGCCAUGGGGGCGCCGGAUCCGGUCAACCGGACCUAGGGGCACUGCCGGCGCAUCCAUGCCCGGUGCAGCUGCGUCAUUGACCAGGGGCGGGCACGGCCACGACCGCGCCCGCGAGCUGCCGACCCCAGUUCCUCGCAUCGCCGUCCGCAGCCGCCGUCAGGCCCGCGCCCCUCUGCGCGCGCCGUCCCAGACCUUUGGCUCCUAGAUCCGCACUGGCCAAUAUCGGACGCGGAGAAAUGGCCCCGCCGCCGCCGUCCUAGCAGGGACGCGGGCUUCCGAAGCCCCGCUCAGGCGGCGGCGAGGUGUGGGUGAGCGUGGGGAGGGCGGCGGCGGCGACGACGAGCUGGGUGCCACCCGUGUCGCCCCUAGGAGGAGAGCGACGCAGGGGCUUCUAUCUCUCCCCGUCCGCCACUGAACACAAAGAUACUACGUGUUGGGUGAGUUGUAUCAUACUUAAAUUUAUAUAGCGUAUCAAUUUUAGAAAUAAAAACGACAUAAUACUAUGCAGCGGGAUUAUUUAGCCUGAUAGUGUCCUCGGUCAAAGUCAGAUCACGCUAGGGCGCAGUUGUUGGAUUCGGUAGAACUGCACGGAUACGUUUGCUGCCAUAAAACGUCCUUGGUGGGCCGUGUUUUUGCCCUAAACUGGGUUGGGCUGUUGUGCGGGUCGGAGUUGUGUCUGUCUGUUGCUACACCCUCCCUCCGGUUGCAGCCCAACCCAGAGAUGAUCUGGCCCAGGGGUUGGUGGCCCAAACGACGAACAGGCCCACACAUUGCAAGGUGGGUCCUUAACAACUUCCCACUAUCGUGUACGGAUCGCCGUUAGAUCGGGAGGAACAGUCGCAGAGCGCCGUUGCAUACUUUUCCUUCCACAAGGCCGCAUCGCGGAAGUCGGCCGGCGGCGCCGCCACGCAGGUAGGUGCACACGGUGCGCCGUGAACUGGCGCCGGAUGCGGCGGCGGCGGCGGCGGCGAUCGACGAUCCGAAUCGGCGCGGUGGCCGGUGGGCACGCACGCGCUCUUCUCGAUGGCGCGCUUUGUGAUAGAGAUCACCACCGUCCACCGACGCGCGCGCGGCUGGGCCGGGGGCAUGCAAGCGCCCGGCGCCCUUCCUCGCCUCGCCGGUGGACGUGCGUGCAUGAGCCCGUGGGCGAAACGGGCUAGUAGCUACGACUAGCUAGCGGAAUGCAAACCCCUACUGGUACGAACUCGAUCAAGGCUUAAUUAGUCUUCUUCCUGUCCUUUUCCUCAUGCCUUCGAUACCCAAAUUUAAACUGUCAGGAACACUGCGCGCUUGUAGCAGAAGGCAGUUCCAGACCUCAUUUCGAUUGAAUAUACAAUUGGUUGUUCUUUGGAUGAAUAAAAAUAAAAAAUACACAAAUAGUUUGCCUUUGUUGGUCAUGCAUGAUAUACACAAAUAGCUUGCCUUUGUUGAUCAUGCAUGAUCAUGUGCAUAUACACCUCUACCCAUGUCAUUUUCACUUUCACCUUCACUUCACAUAUUUUAUCUCUAUGUAAGCGUUGUGGAUACCCAGAUAAAGAUAGAUACAGACAUACAGUCCGAACCUUUUACUGAUAUAGAUGCUUCUUAAACGACCUAUUGACACAGAUGCAAUCCUUUUUCAAAAAUUACACCAAUGCAAAGUAAGCCUACGCUGGAGUUGUUGGAGUAGCAGAAACAGCAGGCAAUCCAAAAUCUUAGUGUGGGAGCUAGUAUUUUUUUGAACGAAAGUGGGAGCUAAUAUGAAGUUUAUAUAUUCAGAUAUAAAGACAUUUUUUUGUGGCAGUGUACAAGAUACUCUACAGCAGUCUAAAUACACAUAUAUAAACAGACAAAAAUGUGCACGACAGUAAUGAUUUGUUCCUUGAUCUUAGGAUGUCUAGUCAUAAACUAAAGAAAAUGUGCAUAACUAGCUAAAUCGUUCACUUCUUAAUGCAGAAACAACACUGUUGACACAUUAUCACAUGCAUCAUACAAAAAAAAUCACCGAUGUCAAACAACAGUGUUACACAAAUCCAAUAUAAUACAGAUAUAUGUGAGUGUGUGUUCGCCACCAUGCAUUAUACAUGCAGGAACAUGUCAAUUAAAGCGCACUGUCACUAGCUUGAACUCAAGCCAUGAUAAAAAUGCUAAACCAAAUUACCUAAGCCAUCCUCAUCAGAGUAGCAGGUAAUAAUAUCCUAAUUAGGGCUCAAACAACCAUAUAUAUAAUGAAUUUGUCCUCUUAAGAUCUUGUAUCUAAUAAUACUAAUUACCGCAAAUGCGCUGCACUCAGCUCACGCGUUACUCUAAACCUUCACAACAAAAUUGACACAAUACUUUUUUUUCCUUUUUUACCCAUAUAUAUUGGACAAAUUCUUUGCGUGAGCUCCAAACCAUUGGACUAUAUACGAACCCUCUGACUUCCUACAGGUGCUUGUUGUGUGGAGGCGACUUCAUCUCGAGCUUGGAGCUCGAACCCUCGAAACCCUUGCUGCCCAUGGAUUCACCUGACAAGGCACCCUCGUACAGGCUGGUGAUCGGGUCCAUGACACUGAUGCCACCCUCCAUCGUUGUUGAUGAACCCAUCUGGAGCUGGUCGGUGCCGCUCUUAACCUGCUGGUCCUCCUCGCCGGCCCAGAUCAUCGAGCUCUUGCCACUGGAGCUGCAAUGGUUAGGGCCCUUCUUGUCUGCUGACGAUGACCCUAUGAAGUUCUCACCCAGCGUCAAGAAGCUAUCCAUUGGCCUCUCCAUCUGAUGGAGAAGGUGGUCCAUGUGGCUACUUCCUCCAUAGAAGUGCAGGUCCUGGAGGGAAGAGAAGCCCGUGGAGCUGCCAAUGUCAAGGACGGCUUGGUUGCCUAGAGAUCUGUACCCCGCGGGCCACGUGGCGUAGUCGCUGGUCCCUAGGGCUUGGUGUGCUUUCUCCAGGAUGGACUGCAUGUACUUCCCCUGGGCUUCAACCCUCAUCUGGAGGUGCUUCUGCACCUGCACGUCAUGCAUGCAAAGUUCACUACUACUUUUACUUUUGUUGAAAGAAAAUGCAUGCAUAUAUGCUGAGUUCAUGAGUAUACCACACAAAUAUGAGAAGGAUAUAGAAAAGUUGUGUCAAGUAAACUUCCCAAGAAUGUUCCUGAGAAAGCGUCAAGAGAUCGGAACAUGCCAGCCACAAAAAAUGCCGUACCAGGUAACAAGUGUAUGUAAACUUCCCAAGAACGUUCAUGCAUGUAUGCAAAGUUCAUGAGCAACAUGCAAGGGCAGAAGAAAGAAAUCAACGUUGUAGUAUGAGUAAACUUCCUAAAGCAUGUUACUAUGUAAUCUGUAUGUACCUCUAGUUCCCCAUGGAGCCUUCUCUGGACUUCCAUCUGGAUCCUUAGCGCCUCGUUCACGUUCACGCUUCGGCUGAAUGAUCAACAAACAAGAGAAAUAAGCAUCAGAAGCUUAUAACUGAAGACAGAUUGCGUUAUUAAGGAGAAUUAGCAUAAUGGUAUGAACAAAUCAACUCACUCGUUCAUCGUUCUUCCCAUCACGCCUGAAGAAGAGGCCACAUUACGUUGCAUCUCCAUUGCUGAAUGUGUGGUUCAUUGGAUAGUGUUACUUAUUGUAAAAAUAUUUAUAUACUAGAAUUAUGUAUCCUUAUGAGCUACUGAAAAGUACUGGACAGGUACAUGACUCUAUAUGUAAUUUUCGAUAUCAGGUUUAUAACUAAUUGUUUGAAAAUAAUGUGUAAACUAGAAAUUAUCUACCUUAUGAACAACUGAAAGUACUGGUCACAUGAUAUAAUAUCAUAUUCGCUGCUAGGUUUGAGCAAAUGAAUGUACGUAAAAUUAUACAAAAAUCUUGAAAUGAAACAGGUUUGAGUGUUUGAGAACAUCAUAUCAGUCUGGUUUAGCUUUGGCAAAAGGAUGGAAAAGGCACACAGUAACACAGAUAGGCACUACAUAGGUAGACAGAGAAGGCAAGGACACAAAAUUUAUCCUACAAGUUCUCUCUGAAGAUAAUAAGCAUAGUAAUCUAAGUACUGUACAUCUUAUCUUUAUAAUACUAACCUGUAUGAUCCCCAAACUCCUUGUGCUGCUUCCCUAGCCUGAAUUUCUGAAAGAGAGAAAAACAGCAUCACGAAUCAGGAGACUUAAAACCUAAUUUCAAGCUUGCAUGGGAUCCAGCAGCUAGGUACGUACUUGCAGGUGACUCUUGAGAUGGUAGAGGGUAAGGCCCUUGACUCCCAUAACCCUCAUGAUAGUCUUUGGAGUUGCCUCUACAUACGGGAAGGAGAGCAAGAAGCAAAUUAAACCAACCAAAUACCCAUAAAAAUUCCCGAUAAACUGAAGCAUCUACGUUACGUACUGUCCGGGCCUCCGAGCUGGGCGACGGCGUCGACGAAGCGGUCAUGGAGCUCGGCGGUCCACCGGAGGCGGGGCUUGGGGUCGGUGGUGAGGACGAGACCGCCGGAGUCACCUUGCACGCACAUAGACCGAUCAUUUGAGCUCCCAGCGCCAGUGUUGGGCUGCUUCUUGGAGGAGGGGAACAUUCUAUCCUCCCAGCUCCUUGCUGCUUCCCCUCUUAAACGGUUAAACCUUUCUCUCUCUCUCUCUAGAUCUCGGGAUCCUGUGGCAAUCGAUCCUCUCUCUUUUCGCUCUGAUCAAUCUGAUCAGCUACAAGGACUGCUGGAUGCAGAGAUUCAAGAACAUGGAAUAGGGUUCGCCUCGCACGCAGAACGAGGAGUGCACAGUAGAAGCGCUACUACUGUUACGUUCCUCUCUUCUUCUGAUCUUCUUCCUCCUUGAUAUGCUCUCUUUCUCUCUCCUCUCUCGCUUUCUCUCUCUGCUUUAGACUUUAGUUCGUUGCUUUGUUUCUUUCUCUUUCCCUCUGCGUGUAGUGUGUAGUAGGUCUCAUAGCAGAAAGCUCCCCCGGUCGGGUAUUAUUCUACGCGGGAGAGAAAAGCCACCGCCAAAACUACUCGAAGCCUCGCCAGUAGUCUCCCCGCGUGGCCCCCUCUUGCAUAAGAUUUGAACAGCUCAUUUAACAAGCAAUAAUUUAACAUCGUUCUUUUACUGCUAAUUACUAUGACGAUAGCAAGUACAGGUUGCUGGUUAGAAUUAUAUAGCACUAUCUUAUCACCUGCUUGCUCUUCUAUCUUAUCACUGUUUAUUUUUCAGAAGAUGCAAAUUCAUCUGAAUUUUGUUUUGUUUGGAAAGAAAAUUAAAGGAAUUUAGUGUAUCGUUAGAGUAUAUUAAGCCGGUGCAUCAAGUUAAGGACGAGAGCGUUAAAAGCUCUUCUUGAUCAAAUCAUCAGUGCAAUGAAUCAUCAUCAUCAAUGCAUGGAAAAGGGGAGUAAACUGGUCACACCAUCAUGUCCAAAUGAUGGCUUCCAGAUUGUGAUGGAAUUUAAAACAUGCGCAUUUGCAUUGAGCCCCGGGACUGGCCAAGUAGACAUCACAACAUACCCAACAAAAUGUAAAGGGACCUAAAGUCACCAUAUACACAUACACAUCAUAGUGGAGCCAUUGAUGGCAUAUGUAGUGCCCGUGUGGGAGACCUGUAGUAGGUAGCAGUCAUGCAUAUUUCCUUUUUGUUUGUGACCCAGCUGCAGGCCCAACUAUAUCAUCUUCAGAUACAGCAUAGUACACACAUGAUUGAUCCAAGCCUUGUGAUAAUUUUGAUCUUUUUACGAUUAUAAGGAUGACGCGCAUCACCACGUACGCGCAGGUAUGAGCUCCUGAAAAGUUCGAGCUGCUGCGCCGCCCGAGAGAUCGGAGGCUUUUGUCACUAUUAUCUGUCCAUGCAUGCACACGUCACUAAAAUGUCAUAAUACUUCCAAAAAAUAUUUUAUAUAUAUAUAUGCAAGGUAAAAAUUGAGUCCAAUUAGGAUAUAUAAGAAGGUAGAGAAGAUAGGUAGAAUACUACUAGUACUAGUAUAAAGCUAGCCCUACAUCAGCCGUCCCCUACACAUUCCGCUACAAAGGGGGGCCGGGGAGGAGGCAUGGCAUGGCAUUUUCUUUACCACACCUAGGGAAUAUAUGCUUCCUUCUUUGACAAUUAAGCAAAGAUUCCUCUGAAGUAUACACCAGAUUUUUGUUUGAUUUGUAGUAAAUAUAAAAUUACAUGUCUACUGUCUUUUGUAAAAUUCCAUUCUGCCACAUGCAUGACAACCACUGCAUCGCCAAAAUAAGGUUCUAAUACACGGUUGUAAUUACACAAAUGCUGAUCAAGUCCUCGGAUAUUUCAAGCCAGACAUGCAGGCCCGGAUUUUUCAGUUGCAAAAAAAAAAAUUGUAAAUGCAAGCAGUGGUGUUUGCAGAUCGUACGGUGCAAUCCGAGUCAGUAUGGAACUCUGCUACAUCCAUAGUACAGAUUCGCUACGAAAGUGUUUACGUCCACGUGCAAAAGCGCAUGAAACGGAGACGGCGUAUGCAUGACUAAAUAUGCCUAGCAAAGUUGUGUUUUACUUUUAGUUCUCUCAUCGAUCAAGCUCAGAAAUCAUACUGUCCACUAUGGGUGGUAGCUUGCAUUUCAAGCACAGCUCUGUGUCGAGAUGCUCUUUCAGAUAAGAUAGGAUAAGACACAUGUGAAAUGUGUUUGCAAGCAUAGUAAACCUUAUAUAUAAGAGCUAUAUGCCUGCAGGCUUUCACUCACGCAAACGAAAACAAUUUGUUAUAUUGAUUCUGACCGGUUUUGCAAGUCUAUUUUUGGGCUAAAUUAUUGGAUUUUAUUCUUUCGAUAAGGGAAAUUUGAUUAAUUUCACGGAUUGGGCGGGCGGCUCUCGUUUUUCCGACCAUUCUAAAAUUUUUCUUACAAUUAAUUACUGAUUCUAUGUGAUGCGCAUAUAAAAUUUAUGAUUCAGAACAGCCCUAUAAUUUAUUUGUUCCUCCUCGAAGAAACACAUGACUACCAUGCAUGGAUAAGUUUAUUUUUGGUUUUGAAAAAACAUGUAUUGGUUUCUUUUUCCCGUGCGUUUAACCCCAUGGAUGGAGGAUCAGACUGAGACGUCCUCUUUUACAUGAAAUGAUUCAGAUCACAAAGUUCAUCUCAUCAUCAGCCAACCUUACUAGCCAGGCGAGCAUGCAUGGCCCAUUCGUCUCCUAUAGUAAUGACUAGUAUAUUUGCAUGUAAUCAUGGCGCAGCCAAAUCUCAGAGAUCUGAUGUGUGUGUGAACGCACUCGAGCUGUUUGUCAAUGUCUCUCUUUGCUAAAGCAAUGUCUCUAGCUACUGCCAAAUUAGGGCAGGCAUGGGGCCUGCUAGCUUGGCGCGCGGCCAUAUGUUUUACCAAGCAAGCCAAUGGAUUGAGCAAGCAAAGUUCAGUUCAUACGAUAUGAUUCAUGCAGAAGCUGGACGUGUACGCGUAUGGCAGAUGACACACACAGUGCCAGGGUUUGUUCGCCGGCGUUGCUUGCAUUGCUUCAGCUUUUCACCCGAGAUGUGAGGAAGAGAUCAUCGGGAAAAGCCGGCCGGCCGUCGGAGUCGGAGAGAAGGCGUUGUGCUUUGCCUUUUCGUCGGAGCACGUCACGCGGUUCGCUUUCAGCGUGGGAGAGAGUCAGGCCUGGCCUCCGGUUCGAUCUGCUUGGGGCGACGGCCAUGGGAUCCGCCACCGCUUUGGGCGACGGCGGCGUGCAGCCCACGGCUGGAAUGUCUCGCGCGGACGGCAUGGCGGCGGGUGUCGGCGGCGUCUCGGGCUGCGUCCAGACUCCAUGCCCGAGCACGUGCGGCCGCCGCGCAAAGCGAGAAGGCAGCAGCUGGCGUCGGCGCGCGGCCUGGUUGCCUCCGGACUGGGCUAGGUCUGCAAGCAGCUUGCUGGGCUGUAGAAUUAGCCGCGCCAAACUGGGCCGGAGAUAUCUGCCUAGCUACAAGUUUGUUACUGAACCUGUCAUCUCAAACAAUGACGUAGCAUCCUCUGGAAAUAAAAUGAUGGCGUAGCAUUCUCUCAGAAACUUUUAUUGGCGUUGCACAAACUUAUUCCUAAAGAAAAAUGACUUACUACUAAGAGAAAAAUAUUAAAAAUGUGGUAAGCACAAUGUUACCGAUAGAUGAAAUAGCACCCCACACCGAGACAAAAAUGCAAAAAAAAAAAAAAAACAUAACAAAUUUCACUUUUAACUUUGAAACUGCCUUUUAUAAUACCUUUGUUUUAAGCUCACCUCGACUCAUAUCCGGUGCAAAAAUAAUCUACACUCUUAAUCGAUUCCACAUGAUUUUUUUUACCAAUGUGGUCCAAGUCAAUAUACUUAUAUAAAGUAUUGCAAUCCUUGCAGUUACCAAAAUAUAGUCACGAAUUGAAACCUUUAACAUGAUCCCACCAUGUUUUCCUAUUUGCAAAAUGUCUUCACACACACAUGAUAAAUAAGCAUCCACACGAUCGAAUGAGUUUGGCUCCGCUUAUAUUAGCAAAAUUGGAUAUAAUCGGUUGAUUGAUUGCAUAUUUGCAUGCAUGGUUGGGUGGUUUUUACAUCAAAGCUAAGUAAGAAGUAGGCCUUUAUAAUGAAAUAUAUUGUGAAAUUUACCAUUCUAAGAUACCACGAGAAACAACAAAAAUACAAGUAUUCUUUCUUCAACUUUGACUAAAUUUGAAGGUUAUGUUUUCUCUCAUCGAUGCACACUAAAAUGGUAAGUUUCUCACUGUGACGUGCCUCUUCAUCUUUGAUGCCUCCCUGCUAGAUAGAGAGUCACGACCUCUACCCUAACUUUUUUUCCUUAACUAUUAGUCCUCCGCCCAUAGCCGGCGAUGUGCGGUUGCCUAUGUUUAGUUGGGUCUACUUACCUCCCUAAAAACUCUUAAAAGCUCAAUAACAUCUUCACUCCUAAAUUCCUGCCAUCAUGAGUGUGUUAGAAUCUCCACGGACUCAAAAAAGUGUCGUUUCUAGACGAUUGAAGUGUACGAAGUGCGCUGCGAAACAAUAAUCGAGUUUUAGAGCGGCGUACCCUGUGACUUGUAAAUUUGCAUUCUAGUUUAUAAAGUCGAGGCCAAAAAUUCCCAACCGUAGAUUAUGAGCCAUUAGAGCGGCGUACCCGAUCCAACGGCCGGACAGCCGCAGGCCGCAUCUCACCAGCCCACCAUUCCUUUCGCCGGACGAGAGUUGAGCGGCCCAACCCUAAGCAGCAUCCCCGCGCUAAACCCAUCACCGCCACCAUGCGAGGGAUCGGCGCCGCCGCCGCCGCCGCCGCGAGGCGGCACGCUGUGCUCCCCUCCUCCUACGCCCCCGCCUUCUCCUCCUUCUCCGGCAUCGGCGGUGGUGACGGAGGUUUCGGACGCGGGCGCGGGCGCGGCCUGCCGCCCUCCGGCCCGCCGCGCGCUCCCGGUAGGCCCAUUUCCGACGACGACGGCGCGGAUCCCUUCUCCGCCGCGGCACCCGCCGGCCGCGGCCGCGGGGAGCCCGCGGCUCCCUCCUCCGCCACCAUCCCGUCCUUCGCCGCGUCCUCUGGCGUCGGUCGCGGCCGCGGAUCGCCGCUGCCCCCGCCGCCGCCACCCGAGGACGCCCCCAAGCAGCCGACCCUCACCAAGCGCUUCGACGACGCUCCUCCGCGCCGCGAUCCGGAGCCGCCGAGCCCCGAGGCCUCGUCCUCCUCCGCCCCGCCGCUGCCGCGCGCGCUCCCGUUCACCGGCGCCGGCCGCGGCGUGCCGCGGAUGCAGCAGCCGCCGGUGGAUAAGCCUCCGGAGGAGAACCGCUUCAUCCGGCGCCGCGAGGCGGCGAAGCAGGCGGCCGUCGGGCCUACCUCGGCUCCCGGCCCGCAGCAACCGAAGUUGUCGGGGGAGGACGCUGUGAAGCGCGCAUUGGAGCUCCUGGGAGGAGGAGGCGGAGGCCGCGGCGGGGGCCGCGGCGACGAAGAUGGCGGAGGGCGCGGUGGCAGGGGUCGCGGCUUCCGUGGUCGCGGCCGUGGCAGGGGUCGCACGCGUGACGACCGCCGGUCUGUUGAUCUGGAUGACCGGCAAGCGAUCUACUUGGGGGACAACGCCGACGGUGAGAAGCUGGAGAAGAAGCUUGGCGAGGACAAGAUGAAGAUUCUGGAGCAGGCGUUUAUGGAGGCGGCAGAUAAUGCGCUGCCACAUCCAAUGGAGAAUGCGUACCAAGAGGCUUGCCACACAAACAACAUGGUGCGUACGGCACUGCAGUGGAUUUUGCUGAGUUUUCCAAUCUGAAUGUGCUUGGGUGGUUCCUGAUUGUUCUUGUGGCUGUGGGUAUGUGCGUGCAGAUUGAGUUUGAACCACAGUACCAUGUGAAUUUUGCUAAUCCUGAUAUUGAUGAGAAACCACCAAUGUCAUUGGAGGAGAUGCUUCAAAAGGUGAAGCCCUUCAUAGUUGCGUAUGAGGGCAUCCAGAACCAGGAAGAAUGGGAGGUAAUUUCUUAAAUUGGCCUUGCAGAGUAUUAUCUUUCCCCUUGAAAAUGUUUGUGCUAGUAGAUACUGUUUUUUUUGCCUAGUCAAGUAAGGGUGACGUAGACAAUUUAUGGUCUUCAUCAUGCGGUCAUAUAGCACAUCUUCACUGCUGGUACAGGAACACUUUGUAGGGUGAUGAAGACAAUCCACACCAUGAUGCUAUGUUUCUGCAGUUUUAGUACAAAAACGGGUUUGUGGUUGAUAAUAUGACAUGAUAGUUACCUGCUUGAAGUUUGACAUUGGCUACACCCACAUUACUGCCCUCAGUUUACAAAUGUAUAUGAUUGUGGUAUGUGUCUAGUUAUACUUAAGUAACUUGACGACUAUCAUAUUAGCAUACAUAUAGUUAUCCAGAUUGAUUUCAUUUCUCUAGAUGGUAUUAGGAGUUUUCCAUUCAUAUAUACUCACAUAACUCAAAAUUGCUCAAGUGGAUACUGCAUAUUAAUUUUAUAAGCAUACCUGUUUCUAGUGUUAGUGUAUGUAUCGCUGAUACUUCAGAUAGGCUGCCAUACCCGUAUCACAUCUGCAGCACUACCCUCUGAUGUGGGUCAUGACAUAUGCGUGCCAUUAACCCAACAUCAGAGGGCAGUACGUCAGUGGGAGUGUGGAGCUGGUUCCAUAUUGGAUAUGACAGGAUAUGGCAAAUACACGGCAGCACGUGUAUCAGAAGUAUCAAGAAAUUGCGAUCUAAAAAAAUUCCUGAUACGCCUUACAAUGCUCGCUGAUACCUUGAUCCGACAUGCUUCUUGUCCAUGAGAUGAGUAACAGAGAGAUGGAAAAUUUGGGAGAGCCUGGAGAGGUGGGCAGGGUCCGAGCAGAGCACAAACCAAGGGUACUAGUACUAGCAGGGGCGGAUCCAAGAUCACACAAUAGGGGGGGGCUCAAUUUCCUCCUCUUCUUCCCCCUCCUCUCUUUUCCUUCUUCUUCCUCCUCCUUUUCUUCUUCCUCCUUUUCAUCUAUGGAUAAAAUUUAUAGGGGGGGCUCCAUGGGGGGGGGGGGGGGGGGGGGGAGGGGGGGGGGUCUCCAGCCCCCACGUCGGAUCUGCCCCUGAGUACUAGAGAUAUGAGGGCAUGGGCUACCCAUUUUGCUAGUCGUUGGUGUGAAAUAGUGGCUGGUGGUGAGUGAUAUAUGCCGGUGGCGAAGCCACGUUGGGGGAAGAAGAGGGAGCAUCCAAGAAGGGCAAGUGGUUGCGGGAGUUGUGUGCGUAGAGGACCAGAAGAGUGAUUAGGGUAUCCUUAAAUGGUCUGUGUGGGCCAGCAGCCCAGCACAUGGAAGCCCAUCUCAUCUUUUCUCUUCUUUUCAUUUCUAUUCCUUUUAUCUUGUGCUGGACAUGAUUCAGUGUGAGUUUCAAUAUUUUAAUUGCUGUGGUGUUCAUUAGCUGCUUGCUUAGUAGUAGCAACCUUCAAUUUUGUAUUUUUGUAUGUCUAACAGUUACUACUUUAAUUAUAUCUUAGUGAUAUUUAAGUAUAUAUUUAUAUAUAUUCGCCCUAUUAGUGUAUCCUUGUUUUUGGACAAAUGCCGUAUCACUGUACCUGCAUCCAUAUUGGCAUAUCGUGUUAUUGUGAAACAUAGCCUGGAGUCUUUACAGGAUCACAUUCACAUUCUGUGUCAGAUCAUUAGAUUAAUAUGCCAACCAGCACAUAUAAAUUAAUGGUUGAGUUUUUUAAUUACCAUUUAACUGUUCUAAUAUAAUCUACUGUUGUGCCACUAUCAGGAAGCUGUGAAAGAUGUAAUGGCUAGAGCACCCCAUAUGAAAGAGCUCAUAGAUAUGUACAGUGGACCUGAUGUUGUUACUGCAAAACAACAAGAAGAGGAGCUGCAAAGAGUUGCAAAUACUCUCCCUGAAAACAUCCCUUCUUCAGUAAAGCGGUUUACUGACAAAACUCUACUCUCUCUUAAGGUUUGUGUUAUCAAAACUUAUGCUCUGAACAAUAUCUGUGGUAGUGGUGUUUCAACUUUAUGUGUUUUCAUUUUGAGUAAUCUCACUCCUGAAUCUCAUCUGUUGAUGAGAGAAGCACAAUUCAUGUCUAACUUGGCAUUAUAAGAUGUCACCAUCUGUAGUAGGUUUCUUUCCAAAAUAGAGCUUCCACUUGUUGCCACAUCGAACGUGAUGUUUAACUACAAGGGGAAAAAAUCCUUUGUUUUAUUUUUAUACAUAUUUCACAAUAUCUCAAACAUUUCCCCUGUUUGAGUAUCAUCUGGUCUAGUGGUCUUGUGCACUGGUUAUGGAACAUAUUUCAUGUAGCCAUGUCAUGACAUGCUGUCACAGAGAUAUGCAUUCAACAGGUAACACGAUAGUAGAUGUUCGUUUCUAUCUUGAACUGUUGAGGCUUCUUACUGAUUGCUACCCACCUUAUCUUCUUCCUUCCUAAAUAAGAUAAUCGAUAUCGUAUCGUGAUGGGUUUCUUAAUUCCUUUACUCUUUCUGUGUGUUGCAGAACAACCCUGGCUGGGGUUUUGACAAGAAAUGCCAAUUCAUGGACAAGUUCACUCGCAUUGUUUCAGAGCAAUACAAGUAGAAAGGUCUCUUAUACUGUUGUAGUAACCAUCUCAUUUAGCCCACAAGGAGAAUUGAAGGUUUUUUUUUUGAGGGAAGAUGUGAUGGCCAUCUUUAUGCAAUGUUUUUUCUCUUUUGCUGGGAUGCUAGUCUGAUAAAUAAAAUUGCUGAUACACGUGGUUUUCUUUUGCGGGAUUUUCCUCCCUGUCAAUUUGGUUCUGCACAAGUGUAAGCAUCGCCGCCAUUUUAUUCGUCAUAUGAAACUCUGAUCCCUUAUCUGGGAUACUUGGGUGCUAAUCAAAUCGUUCUUUUGGAAAUCAGAAGUUAGUAGUUUUGUUGUACAAUGCAAUACAUUUCUGGGCCUUUUUCACUGGACACACUGCUAGUCUCCAUGGAGUGCUCUGUUCUGGGAGCGCCAGCAAGAACACAAGAAUCAUAUGGUGAAACUCACACAUACCAGUAUACAAGUAUCGAAUUCUCAGUACGGUUUGUCUACUAUACGGUAUACAUGUAUAGCAGCUUGUACAUUUCUUCUCUUUUCUAAUAUCCCGUGUGUAAACGCCUCUUGAUCCACAAGAGAGACGAGAUGCCUACCUAUCUAAACCCCUAGAGCUCUCCUCUGUGCUCGGUACAAACUGUUAUCUUCUAUUCUAUACAAAAGCGAAGCAAAAACCGUGGAAAUUGCAGCAAAUUAUGUUGAAUAUGAUUCGAAUGGUGUGCGCCCGGCAGCACCUCCUUUGCCCAGUUGCCCGUCUUGGGAGGAAACCUAGGAUUUCACUGCCCAAACUUCUCCAUCCAGGCGCUUCAAGCGACCACACCAUUUUCAGUGCCUG
rnacentral:lncRNA from 1 species